rnacentral:lncRNA from 1 species
UUGGCACUUCCUAAAGGCAAGAGUAAUAGGUGGGAGAUGCCUUCAAGGAUGGAGCCAAAGGGAGGGGGAGUGUGUGGUUGUUAGAUCUUGACCUGUUCCAGGCUAUAAAUCUAGUAUGCAUUACUUGUUCCUCACUAAGAGGAAUCAUUCAUUAGAUUAACUUGUCCUUCCCAAUCUAUAUGAAAUUGCUCUUUCCUUGUUCAGAUGAUAACAAUUUCUCCCAUUUUUCUAAUCAGCUAGUCAUAAAUUGAUGAAUCAAGCUGCAAAAACUUCUAUUUAGCCUUUUAGUUUCUUCUUCUUCUUCUUCUUUUGUUCUUCCUCUCCACUUCUUAGGGGUACAUCAAGGAGAUUAGCAAAUAUAAUAAUCUCUAAAGCUAGUAAGAAAACUAAAAUCAAGCAUUUAUAAUUGAUUUGCUGAAUGAGAUUUUUUCCUGAUAUAGUUCAACAAAGUAAUAAGAGAAAUGAUCUUUCCAGUCCUAUGAUUCUUUUCAUCAGAACAUUGCAUUGUUGCUAUCUCAAAGUACUUGUGCCAAGCAACAGUGUUCAGUGUGCUAAUUGAUCAGCUUCAUUUCAUCUCUCUCUUAACUGCAGUGAAUUAUGAAGUCCUACAAGUAAAAACUCUCUCUCUCUCUCUCUCUCUCUCUCUCUCUCUCUCUUUCUCUCUUGGGUUUAUCUCAGUAUUUGUUUUAACUGCAUGCUGCAGUUUGAUCUUUCUCCAUUUUGGCCAUCGACAGAAGGCAGUUUUGUGUACAGUGUCAGCACCAAAAGAGAGAGCAGCAGCCAAAUCUCAUGUCGGGUACUUGGUUUUGUAGUCACUCAUGAGUAUGAUUCAUGGAAGGUAGGGAAGCUGCUCCCAACUUUCUUUUCUGGAAGAAGAUAACACACAACACCAGAGCAGGCGGCUGCUGUGUGCAGUUUUAGCUGCUCACGUGGAAUGUCGUGUCCACUGGAGCAUCGGAUAUCAGCGUAGAUUACUGCGAGAUCGAGAUGGGAGGAGUGCCAAGAUUGAGCCGGUAAUGGAAUCCGACAAGAGCCGGAUUUAGCGGAGUGGACGAUAGCUAGAUGCAGGUAGGAUUGACCUGGAAGAACACAGAUUAUUUAUUCUAAGUAAUCUUCAAUGCUUCCAGUUCACUGUUUGACCUUUUUAACCAUCUCUCUCUCUCUCNNNNNNNNNNNNNNNNNNNNNNNNNNNNNNNNNNNNNNNNNNNNNNNNNNNNNNNNNNNNNNNNNNNNNNNNNNNNNNNNNNNNNNNNNNNNNNNNNNNNNNNNNNNNNNNNNNNNNNNNNNNNNNNNNNNNNNNNNNNNNNNNNNNNNNNNNNNNNNNNNNNNNNNNNNNNNNNNNNNNNNNNNNNNNNNNNNNNNNNNNNNNNNNNNNNNNNNNNNNNNNNNNNNNNNNNNNNNNNNNNNNNNNNNNNNNNNNNNNNNNNNNNNNNNNNNNNNNNNNNNNNNNNNNNNNNNNNNNNNNNNNNNNNNNNNNNNNNNNNNNNNNNNNNNNNNNNNNNNNNNNNNNNNNNNNNNNNNNNNNNNNNNNNNNNNNNNNNNNNNNNNNNNNNNNNNNNNNNNNNNNNNNNNNNNNNNNNNNNNNNNNNNNNNNNNNNNNNNNNNNNNNNNNNNNNNNNNNNNNNNNNNNNNNNNNNNNNNNNNNNNNNNNNNNNNNNNNNNNNNNNNNNNNNNNNNNNNNNNNNNNNNNNNNNNNNNNNNNNNNNNNNNNNNNNNNNNNNNNNNNNNNNNNNNNNNNNNNNNNNNNNNNNNNNNNNNNNNNNNNNNNNNNNNNNNNNNNNNNNNNNNNNNNNNNNNNNNNNNNNNNNNNNNNNNNNNNNNNNNNNNNNNNNNNNNNNNNNNNNNNNNNNNNNNNNNNNNNNNNNNNNNNNNNNNCUUCCUAGUUACUACUGUUUGUACCUUUUAACCUACUCUCUCUCUCUCUCUCUCUCUCUCUCUCUCUCUCUCUCUCUCAUGUGUGUUGGCAUCCACCCUUUAUUCCCUAAAACAAUUGACUACAGGCGGAUUACAAGCUCACGAUGAUAGAAGAUGGCGGUGAUCUGUAAACUAUGAUGGAAGCAUGGAACCAGGAAAAGGGAUGGAAAGGGGGAGGGAGGAGUGGGGGGUGGAAGAGGGACAUUGGUGGAAGCCCACUCUUCCAAAUCAUCUUCUUGCAUGUGACAGUCAAGAGGUCAUUUAAUGAGAGGAAGAUGAACUGCUUAUUAGGUUCAAACACUUCCAUUUCAGAAAACUGGAAAAGCUUCCUCUCUCUACACUCCAAGAAACCUAAUUUGUCUCCAUUCUACUUUUGAUGCAUUUCACCAGCCGAAGGCAAAAGGGUGGCACCCAAUUAAAGGUCGGUCCUCUGCAGCUCAAGUUCAUGAACAUGAUGAACAAAGACUAGAACAGAGGUAAAAAACUAGGCAAGUGUUUGAGGAUCCAUUGUGAUUCCUGAUGAUGUUAAUAUGCUUUAUUCAUUUAGAUUGAGAGAGGUUAAUGAAACCAAGACAACAAUCUUUUAUAGCGAGCCAAUAAAUUCGUCUCCACCUCAAACCUCGAAGAACAAGUGUGAUUUAAACAAAGAAUAUAGCAUUUGUGCAUCUUUGGACCAAUAAAAGUGUAAUAAACUUGUGUACACACUCCACUAGCUUUCCUUUUCGUUCCUUUAAUGAUUGCUGAUCUCCCCCUUCUCUCUCUCUCUCUCAACCAUUUGAGCUCCAUGAACUUUUCCUUCUCAGUUAUUUCCAUUGUAUGUAACCUCUCAGAGAAGGUCAACAAGUUGUUUACUUCUUCUUCCCUCCCUCCCUCCCCUUGUGUGUUGCACUCCCCACCUCUUUAAAAAGCUCUCCUUUCUGCAAUUUUCUCACCUUUAUCACUCCCUCCUUCCUUUCACUUCUCUGCCUCUGCUUUCCCUUUCUCCCUUUCUCCUCCACCUUCCACCUCUCCUCUUUUCGCCCUUUAUUCUCCCCCCAAAGAUUGUAGCUUUCUGUCGAGCAGAGAUUUUUCAACCUUGCCAUAAUCCAAUUCUACUUCCGGAACUCCUCGUUUAUCUUUGGGCAUUGGAAACCUCGGUGAAUUCACUGUUCCUUCACUUUUUGGUGCUCAACUUCAAUAAAGGAGAGAUCUUUUUGCAUUGCCGACCUCGCGGAGAUGAACUCUGGGUCGUCGGAUCGAUCGCCGAAGUGCUUUCUCAACCAGAAUUGGGAUCGCUCCGUCGAUCACAUCAGCCAAUUUGGAUCGGCGCUUGGCUCCUUCAUGUCGCCGCAGUCUUCAUUUGAGCUCGAGAGAGGGUUGCAGAGAAUUGGCCACUUGAGCGAGGAGGUCCCGCCGCAGUCCCAUUUCAUGGAUUCCUCUGGGAAUUCCCAAGCCUUGGGAGGGUUAGUGAUUGCAGGAAAUCUGGCCCUGGCACAUUUGGAUCAGUUUCCGGCUGACCCAGGCUUCGCAGAGAGGGCAGCAAGGUUUUCUAGCUUCGACGGCCAGAGUUACGGUUGGUUCUCAGGCCAUUUCGAGCUCCCUGGGAGCGGCAAGCCUUCGACUGCGGCAAUCAUCCAGUCUCUUACGGCGAGCGGGCUCCAAAUUGGGCACUUGGAGAGCAACAGGCAAAUUCCAGUAUCGAAUGGACUGCAAUUGAAGAUGAAUAGCGCUGGUCCGGCAAUCUCCAGAGAGGAAAUGUCGCUGUCCGAUCCGAUAUCUGCGAGCAACGGCAAGAAGCGAAAAGCUCCUUCGAAGAGCAAAGAAAAGGAUGCUGCUUCACCGAAACCUUCCACCGAUCCUCCCAAGGUACCAAACUCAUCUUCUUGAUGUGUAUUACCAAGAAAGACUCAAACUUUGCAGCUUUCAGGUGGCAGAUGAAGAGGAUUCCGACACAAAGCGAUGUCGAUCCUCGGGGAAAAUUCAUGAGAUCGGCAUUGACAAUGUUAAGCCAAAGUUGGAGCAAAACGAUGGCGCCAGAAGUAAUGGAAAUGCUGAGCAGAAGCAGAGGAAGGCAGGCAAUGACAAGCCCUCCGAGCCUCCUAAGGACUACAUCCAUGUCAGGGCGAGAAGAGGCCAAGCAACUGAUAGCCACAGUCUCGCAGAAAGAGUAUGUGAUGAAUGCUCUCUCGAGAUCCAAAUGUUGGCUUUCGUCUCUGUUGAUGAUUCUGAUCAUUCUUCAACUGUUCACCAGGUGAGAAGAGAGAAGAUUAGCCAACGAAUGAAGUUGCUGCAAGAUCUCGUUCCAGGCUGCAGUAAGGUAACACUUGAUCUCAAAGAUGCUCUCGUCACCCUGUUUCAGCUUAUGAAUAGAACACCAGAGACAAGAUCUACUUUAGCUUGCUUGGAAAUCUAGUCUCAAACUGCAAUCUUCUGCUUUAGGUAACUGGCAAAGCGGUCAUGCUUGAUGAGAUCAUAAACUAUGUGCAGUCGUUGCAGCGACAAGUCGAGGUAAAAUGAUCAUACAACACAUGACCAUUUCUAUAUGGAAGUAUGGUUUUCUCAUCUCAUCUUUCUGUUCUUGUUGUAGUUUCUUUCCAUGAAGCUGGCCACCGUAAACCCACAGCUGGACUUUGACAAUUUGGCGAAUCUCCGUGCCAAAGAUGUGAGUUUGGAAAUUUCCUGACCAGUUAAAACCAACCAAAAUUCAGACUAUAAUGCUUGCAUCGACUAAUUACUCUGGUCAUAAAUUUCAGAUGAUUCAGAUUGGUGGACCUGUGCCGAAUUCAGCUUAUUCACCUGAAAUGAGUAUGGUGUCAUCUUAUGCUGAUGUACCACAACAGAAGGACAUUCUUCAUAGCAUUGCGACCAACGGGAUGGAUUUCCACUGCUCUAUGAACUUGUUAGAUUCCACAGGCCACCAAGAUCUCAAUGCACAUCAGGCAUGCCUUGGUGGAUUUGGAGAUUCUUCAUCUCAGGUAUAAAUCAUUGUCAAAUCUGCGAUUAUAAAGCUACUAUGGAGAUUUUUUUUUUUUUUUGUUGUUGAGACUGAUAAAAAUGAAUACUGAACAUUCAGCUAGGGUUUUUCUGGGAGGAUGACCUCCAAAAUAUUGUUCAGAUGGGCAUAGGACAAGAUCAGGAGAUUGUUGCUUCCUCUCACAACUUCCAUGGUGGUAUGAACAUUUACAAGGAAACUGUGCCGCUUGCUAACUUCAUAAAUCCAUUAGAUGUUACUGAUUUUUCAUCGGUCGGAUGCAGGCACCUCCCCAGCUGCUCAAAUGAAAAUUGAGCUUUGAACAAUUGGUUGGUGUGGAGUGAACAAGAUGAAUCUGUAUGUAUAUAUCGCGGCGCUGGAUAAUCGCAGCCCGCAAAGCUUUCAACUAACAACGGUCUUCAGAUCCAAGCACAUUUUUGUUCUACUCUCUAAUUUAUUGAGGGAACAUAAUUCUUUGGGGACUUCUUGUCAGUUAUAUCAGUUGUAUGAUCUAGUUAGAGUCCCAUAAUGUGGUCCAAAUAGAGCACCACAUUUGUGAUGUAUGAUAAUUAGGAAGGGAGGUUGGAAAUCAAGAUUCAACAAUUGUAUUUUGAUUCUACCAUUUAUUCAAUUGGAUGAUUCUUGGUAACAUUUCUGGAAAUCCACAAAAAAAGUCUCAGAAUGAUAUCAUAAGCAGCUGCAAUAUCACAAUUUCUUCUUGCUUAAGUUCUGCAGAUUAUUUCAGGUUUGGGUGUCAGUACUUCUCAAGGAAUAAGUCAACUGCUGAAGCUCCAAUCUUGCUUGCAAGUUGCAAUUAUUCUUAUUCUGUAGGCCACCCAGCUACAUCCAGCCCUAUCUAUCUUGUACUUUCUCCAGCACUAAUUUCUUCAGUUGUUCUGCAGUUCUCUGAAAGCAGACAUUCCUGGAAAGAAAAUAACAAAACUUAGCAUGCAUCAACUUGUUCUGCCAUCAUGUCUGCCAUACCUGAAAUCAUACAAAGAAAGAAAAGAAGACAGAGGCACUGAACCCAGAUAUGGAUGUCUGCUAGCUCAAGCAAUCUUUGUUGUGCCAAGUUGCAUUAACAAGCCUAAAUCUAUGUGCUCUGGUAAGAGCAUGUCUAGAAGAGCAAAAAAAGCAUGAGAGGUAUCUGACACUAUUCUGUGAUGCUGCUUAAUAAAUUUAGGAAGAAUAGUCUGCUUAUUUUCUCCUUUUUCUUCAAUGAAGAAGACAAGUUCUGAACUGCACAAUCUGCAAAGAAAGGUGCAGUUAUAUUGGAGCCACAGAACUUGAUCCAGACAAAUUUCAAGAAUUAUGUGGUCCAAAUGAAGGAUUUGCAUGUAUUAAUUAACACAUUGCUUGUGACCCUCAAGACAGUUGGCCUCCACAUUCUCCAUCCAUCUCAUCAACCAUCACUUGGUCAUCCUGAUGAUGAAGAACACAUGUGAUGAGAUACCACUGGGCUCCCCAUCAGCUGUGUGGGGAACACACAUUUGUCAAAGUGCUUUACAGCUGCAAACAAUUUGCUAUCUAACUGAGGUCAAGUGGGCUCAUGUCACCAUCCAAACCUUCUUUCAUCUAUGGUAUCUCUCUAAUCUAUGGGCAUCAGAGGUCUGGCCCCAACUGUUUUCUCCAUGCUCUGUGUUCCUUCUUGCAUCCACCAAGGAGCACUGUGAGGAGAGUGGAAGAACAAUCCCAGUGCUCAUCAGUUGAUGGGUUGCUCUCAGUGCCUCAUGCAAAAGUGAAGACAAGGCAUCACUGUGAGGAUUACAACUAAAUCCACAGACUACAAUGUUUCAGAUCUGGUUCACAGGUGCAUUGAUGAUUCCAGACAGGGCCUUAAGUUGGUGUCUCAAUUCAAUGCUUACAGUUGAGUGUGGGGUGGGAAGUCUGCAUCAGGAUUUCCACAUCAGCAGGAGAUAUGGAACAUUGGCUCUGAUCCACUUGAAGCUUUGCUCCUUAUCCAAAGCACCAAGAAAGAGCAUGUUAGUGUGGACCCAAUGCAAUCAACUCAAUGUGCCUUUUGCUUCAUUUGUUUUUUCUUUGGUGGGGAGGGGAGGCUUGUCCUUUCAAACCUCAACUCCUCUGGUGUGUGGAUAAGCCACUCUCACAACCUGCUGCUGAAUCCUACUUUGUCAUUCAAACCCAAUUAACUUGCCUUCUCACUCAGUAAAACAAAUAGAAAAAUGCUUAGCUAUGUUGAAGUUUUAGUCUGCAUAGUGCAUGAAAAAAAGAUUUUAAUAUGUUUAAAAAUAGUUAUGACGACAACGAUAACAAUAAUAGAACCAUAAGAUCUUAGCUAAUUUAGGGUCGAGUAUGACUCUUUCAUCAUUAUUGAUCGAUAAAAAUAAUUUUAUUAAAUAAAAAAUCUAAAUCUAAACUAUGCUAUUUGUAAGUCUUUUUAGCACAUAUUUAUAUCCGUAUCGAAACUACACCUGUUAGCACAUAUUUUUUUUAUCUUUCCUAAUAAUUCUUUACAUCCAUCUCAUCAUUCACAAAACUCUUUGUACAUAUUGUUUCUUAACUGUACAAUACUUAGAUCAUUAUUAUUCAUUUUAACACUGUCUAAUAGAUAAAUAAUACAUAAACCAUCAGCAUGAUAGUUAUGAAAAAGCCAAAAUAUGUAUUGAUAGAACCAAAAGGAGAAAAUUAUUCUGAUACUGUCCAUGGCAACUGGAACUGUUUUAAAGUUGGUUUUGCUCUCCUUGGAUGCUAUACAUCCAAUCUAGAUUGCCUUUUUGUUUGUUGAGUUGCUUCAUUCAUUGAUGCUCUUUUUUUCCUCUUUGUAGAAUGUACAAAGGGCCUUAUCGAUGAACAACAAAUGGUUUGGAAGCUUGGAAAGCUGUGGACCAAACUUCUCUUUUGCUCCACAUAUAGACAUUUAGAUACUCUCAUAUCUGCUCAUCUCUUCUGAAUGCCACAUUCUCAUUACUGCAACCUUCCAAACUUCAAAAACAUGCACACUGAUGGAUGCAUAAAGCAAACAAAGUGCACAAACACUGUUCCUUCUAUUGGAACUAUUGUGCGCAUGUCACAAGCAUCCACAUGAAACAGCAUCAGAAUCUUCAACAUUCAUCUUUUACAGGCUUCUUUUUCCCUAAUGGAGGAUGACAUCUGUGUUUCCCCCCUCCCCUCCCCCAAAGUAAGCAGAUAAAAAUCACUUGCAACCACAGCAGUUCUCCUAACAAGUGAGAGUGAUGUGUCUCCUAUUUGAACACUGUGGAAUGGGUCAUCUCCCAAGUGAAGAAGAAAGGAUCAAACACAGCACUGAGAACUGUGUAUGCUUCGAAGACUUGCAUUCCAAGAGUAUUGGGUACACGAAAUCUCGAUAUAUCAAUCAGUAGGCAACAAUGUUCAACUACCUCUUGUAUAUUCUUUUUUGUUUCAAUUGCAUUUAAUGAUUUAUGUUGCAAUUAUUUUAUAACAAUAUAAAUAAACAUUGCUAGUGUUGACAAGAGCUUUUUCUAAAAAAUAUUUAUUCUAUGUUACUCUUCUUAGUCUCCUCAAUAUUUUUUUUAGUUUUAAGGUUCCUCUAAAAUGAUAAUAUGCUUUGAACUCGAAUUCGAUAUACCUCUCCAAGUUGAAAUAAAAACUAUUACCAUCGGAUUCACUAAUGACUUGCCUUAAUCGUAGUCUCAAUUUAAAAUUGUGAGCCAAUUCUUAUCCAUUAUCAACUUAGGAGUUUGGAGAGGAUUAAUAUAUUAAUUUAUAUUUAUUUUUUAGUUUUAUGAUUCCUCUAGAAUGAUAAUAGGCUUCAAACUCAUAGGACGUAAUCUGACUUAGUUCAAUUCAAUUUUUUUUACUUAAAAUAAAUAUUAUUAUUAAGAUAGAAUCGGAUUCACCAAAGAUCUAUCGUAAUUGAAGUCUCGAUCCAAACAAAUUAUUACUCUUUAUUAGUAUUGAUGCUCGUCGUCUGAUUUGAAGUUAUAUCACUAUCAUUGAGUCCCCUAUCCACUUAAGUUAAGAUCGGUCAUGUUGGGCACACCAUGUGGAAUUAUGAAGUAGUUGCCAAUAAUUGAUUAUUAUAAUAUCAAAUGUGAGCACCCAAACAUUCCCGAGAGUUAAAAGAAUUCAAAUAUCAAGUGGUUACAAUUAUGUUGGUGGAUGACCCUAUUUAUAUGCAAUGGAAUGUUUCUUAAAUAGUAUUUCUUUCAUUUAAUAAUGUUUCUUUUAAUCCUUUUAACCCUUAUUAUUUGUAUUUAUAUAAUAGUGUUUGAACUUAUUAUUUUUGAGAUUUUUUAUCCCAUUUAUGGCUAAUAGGUGUUUAACCAUUGAGCAUAAGACAAAUAUAAUCCUCAAAUUAAGCAAGUAAAUUUGCUAAUGUGACCACUAGCAUCUAUCAAUUCAAAAUUGAGAUUUGAGUAUGUAAUAUUUAUUGGACAAAUUUUUAGAAAAAAACUUUUAGCUUCAAUAAUUUUUCAAAUAGCACCUCAUGAGAAAUUUUAUAAAGUAUUUUUUUUUAAAUAACUAUUAUAUCCCUAUCGACUACCACUCAACCCUUAAUUGUUUAGUCGCUCAUUUACCCCCUUUAUCUCAAAUAGUCCCUCGAUGUUCAUUGAACAGAGAGGCAACCAACAACGAAGGUCUUGCUCUCGCUAGACCUCGGUGGCUACCUCCCCUCCUUUUUGCCCCAUCAAAUUUAUCGCUCAUAGCCUUUAAAUGAGGAAGAAGGGGCACGAGAGCCAUCGUCACCUCCUUCCUCGCACGAGGGCUAUGAGUGAGAUGCAUAGUGGCAAGCUAGUAGAGUCCGUGGAGGCGACGACGAUCCUCAUGUUGUCUCCUUCCUCAUGCAAUGGAGAUGACGAAGGGGAGAGAAAGUGGUUGCUAUGGUCCAACAAGAUCGUAGGGGCAAUGACAGAGGAUACACAGGAUAAUCAUGUAAGGCGGAAUAGAUAACAGUGAAUCUUAUGGAGGCAAAAGUAAAAUCAUCUUUUCAUACAUCUAAGAGUAUUCUACAAAAAAUUUUCAAUGUUGAAACGCUUUGUGAAAAUUCUCAAGGUUAAAGCUUUUUUUUUUUAAAUUCAUUCAUGUUUAUUUAAGAUCAUAUAUAUAUAUAUAUNNNNNNNNNNNNNNNNNNNNAUAUAUAUAUACACACACAUUAGAGAUGACAAUGAAAUAUUCAUUCUAUUCAACCCACUUAAAUUGGAUUUUAUAACUUAUAAUUAAAUUUGACGGGUUCAAUCGAAAAAUAUGUAUAGAAGUUGGACUUUGAUUGGCUUGAAGUACCUAAAUGGAUUUGAUUUCAUAAACAUACAUUCCAAAAUGUGAUUAUAAUGUGAGAUAGAAAUAGCAACAAGAAGGAUUUAGGUAUAUGAUCUACCCGGCCCACUUAGAUUGGAUUUGAAUCGAUCGAUAAAUACUCGAAUCAGAGUCUUAUGGAGACUCAUGUACCUAUAUAUAGCUGAUGAGGUUCACCCUCUCCAUAUAUGAUUUACCAUUAUGCUUGCUAAAUGAAACAUGCUGAUUCAAAUUACAUUGGAACAGACCCAAAGAAAAUUUCAUAUGAAACUAUGAAAUGAAUCUGAUAAUUCAUAGAUUGUCUAAUUAUUUUUUUAAGAAAAAUACUUUACAACUAAAAAAAAAAAAGAUUGCAACACCAUUGACUUACAGAAGAGAAAAUUACACUGCUGUGCUUGGAUUAAGGCAUAAGGAAUAGACAUAUGGCAAGAUGCUGUCAAAGUCUUUCUUUUUUACUUGUUGAGAGAGAGAGAGAGAGAGAGAGAGAGAGAUAUUCCACUGCAUUCAUAAGAUAUGGAAGGGUGCAACUCCAAAAUGAUCACUGCCAUCAAUUUCAUCGAUCUCAUGACAUGACAUGAUUGAUGUCCAGGGAUCAUCUCUUUCGGCUGCUUCACCCUCCCACUGUUUCUUGCUGGCACCAAAGCAGUAAGCAGCAGUGUCGAUGCUUCCAAUUCACUUUCGGCGACAAGAAGCUUCCUACGAUCUGUAUGUUUGCACGAACAAGAAGAAGAAUGGUCAACAUACUCAUACAUACGUGAAUAAGAUACGUCAUUUCAAGUUACGUGCACUUGUCAUCUUGUAUGUGCCAUGACAUGCAUCUCGAUCGAGUCGCCACAUUAGUCCGCUGUCAACAAUGGGGGAGACGUUAUCCUCAAGGGGGGUGUGUGUGCGUCGUCUUGCUUGCCUGGCUACGUCGGGAAGCGCUCCUCAUGGCGACUCGAUCCAAAAGGCCGCUUCUUCCGCGAUCGAACUGACCCACCCACGGUUUUCUUCUGUGUCUCCUUCGUUUCCUGGGUGCGCUGCUUCCACCUCCCUCUCACCCUGAGAGGUGCAAGAUAGCUAGCUCAUUGAAGAAUCUUGGAUGCAUACCACUGCGUGUCUCUGCUCUUCUCUUCUUUUAUAAGAGCUGCUCAUCCUCUUCCAACCUCCUCCUCUUCGUAGAACAGACACCUCUUUCUCUCUCUCCUUUGAAGUGCACGAGUGUUGAGACCUUACGUUAGAUGGCAGUCUUCCUUCGGGCGACGCGGGUGACAACCUUGCUUGACGACGACAAGGCAAAGGCCCGCCUUCGGGAAGCCGAUGACAGCCACCGCGUGUCCGGCUACGACAGCAGCGGCAGCGAGCACGACUCCCCUAGCCUGUCCGGUCUCGUCCACGCGUUCCUUGAGCACGCACACGGUGACUCCCUCUCCGCUGAUGUCGGCGCCGUGGCGCACCCCCAUCACAGCUCUGACGAUGACCACGCCGACGAUCCUGACUGCACCGCCGCUGCGGUGGUGCGGGAGCUGAUGGACCCUGCCGCGGAGGGGGAUCGGUUUCGAGUCCGGCUCGCGGCAGACGUCUACUCGGUGGUUGAGGGGGUUUCGGGGCUGAGGACCUGCUGCGGCGCCGCUGGAUUACGUCGAGCGGUGAUGGCGCGGCUGAGGGCGUCGGGUUACAAUGCCGGGAUCUGCAAGGCGAGGUCGGACUCGUCCGGCGGGCUCAAAGCCGGCAGCUACGAAUACAUCGACGUGGUGUCGGCGGCGGCGGAGGGGGCCGGAAUGAGGUACAUCGUGGACCUCGAGUUCGCGGCAGAGUUCGAGGUGGCGAGAGCGACGGAGGCGUACAAAACUGUGCUUGCGGCGCUCCCGCGGGCGGCAGUGGCAGGGGAGGAGACGAUGCGGCAAGUGGUACGGGUGGUGGCGGACGCCGUUCAGAGGUCGCUCCGGGCGCAGGAUCUCCACAUCCCGCCGUGGCGCAAGAGCCAGUACAUGAUCGCCAAGUGGCUGGGACCCUACCGGAGGAACACGAACACGGUGCCGGCAUCUCCGGGCAGUUCCGUGAGCAGCAGCGGGGCAGAGAUCAGCUGCCGCUCCGUGGGCUUUACGACGGCCGCGUGGCGAAGAAUCCCGCCACCCGAACACGUUAGAAACCACGUGGCGUACAUAACAAAUUGAUUACACCAUUAUAGUUGUUAAUGCUAUUUUUCCUCCUAUUUUAGACUAAUAUUAAGCUGAUAAUUUAAUUACCUAAUGGAUGGCAAAUUGUUUUGGGACAGUUUCAUUUGGAUGAGCUUCGGAUAUUUAUUUGGCUUCAUAUGUUGAUUUCUUGAAGAAACCAAGAAGAAAUAAUUACAUAUAAUAAAAAUAAAUAAUGAUGUUAAGUGGUGGCAAUAUUUAGGACUCUCUCUUGCAUGGUUUACAGAUUUAAUGUUGGCUUAGAGCUAAUUAAUUAUGAGAUAGGUUUAAUCCUGCUCUUCUUUCUCAGCUUGAAGCUAAACUUGAAACCCAGAUUAAAGUGGUGUUGAAUCCACUCAAUUCGAACAGAAUUUUGGCAGAGUCUGAUGCUGAUCCAAAUACAUGACAGAGAUUUCUUCAUUCAUCUUCAAAAAAGAUGUUACUAAUGGUGGUACUUAGCAAAGAGAUUACAAGGAUGUCAGACAUGGGGAGAUGCAGAUGAAAGGCAACGGCAGGUGCUGCGACUGUACCAGCAGCCCGCCCGACGCCGCCUCCACCAGCGCCUUCUUGAUCGGACCAAGCAGCUCCGCCACCAGCCGCCACCGGAGCACCAGCUUCCGCCCGAGCACCAGCCUCCGUCGUCGCUCGCCUCCCAGCCGCACCGUCCCCCCGCGCCGCCUCCGCAGCCUCCCCCCGCGCCACCGGAUCACCGCAACGCUCCCCAGCUCCGCCAUCUCAGUACGAUAGGACUGAUGUCAAACGCAGCAAGUAUGUGAUGGAAGGCUAAUGAUAGGCUGUUAAGCCAACUAUUGCUGUGCUCCACAAACAGAUGCCAUCACGAGAGAAACAGCGAGAGAGAGAGAGAGAGAGAGAGAGAGAGUGGCAUCAUCAAUCAUUAAAGGACGGCCUCAUAUGCCAGUGUGCUGCAAAUGGGCAAAAACAAAGUGAAGGUAGAGGAAUCAAAGUGAAAGCAGAUGGAACUCCGGACUCAUCUCCUGCUCUUAUUGCGCUGGAGCACAUGAUCCAUUUGGAUGUAUCUCCACUGGCCUGUGUACGACAAGCAUUCAAAUCUAUUCCUUCCCCUGUUUUGCUUGUCUUCUUUAACGACGUCAUCAUUCUGGGGUUAGCAGCAGAAUAAUUUUGUUCACUUCAUUCACAGAAUUCGUAUAACAAGUGUACAUGAAAGCUGAUCACUGAUUUCCUGCGAUCUACAACCCUGUAAACUCGUCCCUUUUCUUACCCUCUAAGCCUCGAGAGGAUAUCAGAGAUCAAUCGAUCACGUAAGCCGAGCUACUUAAUUUAGUUUUGGUCUGUGGUGCAUCGAUACUUUCGGGAAAAUAAGUUGGACGACUAAUUAAUAGUAGAUGUUUCGUUUAGAUGUAUGCAUGCACACAUCGAGGAGUCGCAUUCUUUGGCCGAUCACGAUCAGUCUCGUGAAAUCGAACUCUGAUAUGUUCUCUAGAGAACAACACACGCAUGAUGGAUGGCUUCACGCAGCGCCUGCAGGAGAGAACAGUGAUCAUAUGUACCAGCGAUAAGCAGGAAGAAAAGAAACAGCUCCACAUGUAUUUACACCAUGUUCUCCUCAUUUAUUAAGCCACUACAGGUGGCUACACUUAUGCACAUAGGAGAGACCAUCAGAUUUAUUGGUCCAUCGCGGCAGCCUACGAGUAGAACUCGUAGCUCUUGGCGUCCAUUAUGAUUUGCCGAAGUCCUCCGAUGGGCGACAGAAUCAUCAGCAGAACUCCGAGCAGAAUGCAGAUCUGAGGCAACGUACGAACAAAACACUUUUAGCGACAUAUCUUUUAGUGCGUCGGUAAUGAGAUAUCACAGGGUGUUUUAGUUCUACCCAGUUGAUGAUCCAAGAUAAGCUGAAUCUUCUAGGCUUGUAAACAGAAAGCCACAUGACGCAGGGAAGCUGCAAAAGGAGAGAUCAGAAAGCAUCAUCAUCAUCUACUUGUUCUUUGUUGUUGGAUUCCAUGAAGGGGACGGAGGCUUACGAAGUAUGUUGUCGGGGCAAAAGCAAAGCCGCCGAAGAACCCAAGCAGUCCGCCGAAGAAAGGGAAGGUCAUGCCGACGAACAUCGUAAACGCUGCACAAGGCGAGAAGAGCUAAAUGAGUUGUUCCCGGACGUGAAAAGCUCGUCAAGGCAUUGGCUUUGCCGCAGGAAGAUGGAGAUUACCAACGUAAGUACUGCGUCCAAUCAGGCGAACGGCUAGUCCCGGCGGGAAGUGCAGCUUCUUGACGAGCACUGUCUCUAUCAUAUCGAACACAGGCAUGGCGUAGAUCUGCAUGGAUGAGUAUUUAUGUGAUCAGAUCAAGUACACGACAAGUAGAAGAACUACGAAAAAGAGAGCUCAAUCACCUGGUAACUACCGAUAACGUGGAUGACGACCAUAAUAUUGGCCGUGGCGAUCAGCCACCGCGGCUUAUUCAGCGUAAUGAGGAUGUUGUCGGCGACGCCGUUGCCGAACGCCCAGUACCCCAAGAAAGCCACGGGGAAGUAGCAGAGAGCAACGACGAUGUAGGCGACGACGACGCCUUUCCACAUGGGCUUCUUGGAGGGAUUCUCGGGAGUCGACGGGAUCGUAGCUUGGAUCUCCAACGCCACGUUGUGGCCGGCGUACGCAAAGGACACAUCUCCCAGUGCGCUCAAGAAGUUGAAGACGCCUUCUGCGGUGCUUGACGACUUGUAGACGUACUCCACGUUGGCUUGCUUCCCCCUGUGCACCGAAGCUCCCCAGGCAACGGUGGAGUAGCUGCAAGGCAAGCAAACGGUUUGGUUUGAGGAAGCCAUGCGCUUUAUGAUGGAGGAGAAGUAAUCUGAAGACACAGAUCAACCUGAACGACAUGACAGCAGCUGCCAAGGAGACCCCGGAGAUGGAGUUGAAGUUGGGGAGCUGGGAGAGCACGAAGUGUACGGAGCCGAAGAUCAUGAUGAAGUAGGUGAGCUUGAUGGACUUGCAGUCGGGGCAGAGGACAUCGUGGAACUUCUUGAGGGACUUGCCGCCGGUCACCAUGUACACGAUGUUGACGCCGACCUCGACGGUGAGCUGUUGCGGCACGACGAUCCAAAGGCCGAGCUUGUCGCCGAAGGCUUGCUGCCCCAGCUCGUGGUACCGGUCGAACCGCUUCCCCGGCACCAUCUCGUGCAUCUGCACCAUUUGCCACAGCGUGUAGAGGGUGAUGACCCAUGACAGGAUGAGCACUGCAAUGCCGGGGCCCCUGCUCCGUUGAACCCAAGCAACCAUGUUCUUAGCUAAGCCGAGCCAAACAUCCAAAAGACUCACAGCGAUCACAUGUUUACCAUCCAAGUUGCGCCAUAGCGUAGGGCAAACUGAGGACGCCGGCGCCGACCAAGGCCGUGACAUUGUGGAAGGCCGAGUACCACCACUUCGCCUUCCUGGAAGACGUGAUGGGGAGCCAGUCGUCGAUCGACUUCUCCCUCGCCUUCUCCUCGAUCUGCACGUUAUCAACCUGAUAAGCCAUGAGGCCAAACUCAAAGAGGAGAAAUGGAUAAGAAAUCUACUCCGGCAGCAACAGAGGCCUAUGAAGACUUCAAAACUCCAGAGUAAGCUUAGAGAUGCAGUUGGAGACGUAAUCUUCGGUGAAAGAUUUGGAGGCGGAUUUGGAGGCGGAUUUGGCGGCCCUGAAAACUUGCCAUAGAUAGAUGGAAUCGUUAGAUAAGCCUGAGUUGUAUCUGUUAAGAUUUGGCAGAUCUGUUGAACUGUACAUGGAACAGCUUCAUGCUCUACCGCGUUUACCUCCGUGCAACCAUUCUCAGUGUUUGAUCUGAUUUUUUGGGAACUCUUCGCACCCAAAUAAACGGGAAGUAGCUUUUGUUUGCUUCGCACGAGUGUUUCCGUCUCCCUCGAGCAAACUUACUUCCAAAGCAACGAGUUGACUUCACGGAGCAUACUCGUGUUGACCCAUCUACUGACCACAAAAAUGCUUCUCGGGAGUUGUUUCUGUUUCGGUUUUCAGAAACAAAACACGAAAACCAAGAAAAAUACACGUGGCAUCAUCUUUAUUGAUUUUCUCACGUGCACAGCGCGUGCAGACGACUACGACGACGACGACUACGACUACGACGAUCCCGUCGUGACUCGUGACCGCGACCGAUUGCAACACCAGACCUUGGCCGGCCACGUGGGACCCACGGAGUACAUGUUUGCAUGUGCGUACGGGAAUGACAAGAUUAUUUUGGUAUAACAUUACGCUACUAAAAAUAAUUUAAAUUCGUAAUAAUAUAUAUUAAUGUCGAAUUAGGGACGAAUUUUCGACGCGUAAAUUUGGUACCCGUUCGCUUCGGCUGCGUUAUAAUCGCAUCAAGUAAUAGAACUAAAGGUGGGGCCCAAAAGAACCCUUAUUGUCUUUCUCUGUGUUCUCACUGUUUCGAGUUUUAUAUGAAGUAUUUUCGUCGCGUUAGGGUUUAAUUAUUUUUGGAAAGAAGAUGGCAAUGGAAAAACCCGAUGCGCAGCCGAAGGCGGACGAGGAGAACGGAGAGGUGAAGGAGUUGGGGUUAGGGUUUCGUACUCUUCCUAACCCUCCUCCCCCUUCUUCCCAUGGGACAGACGCCAUCGAUGGCGACCUCGAGAAGGUGGGCCCGGACGAAAAGAUAGCGGAGAAGCUCCAAUUCUGCGCUGUAGAUCAGAAAAAGUGCACUGGAGGAGUCGGAGCUUUUGAGACUGAGGCGGACCGUGGAGAGAAGUCGGAUGAGGAGGGGGGUGUGGGUGGUGAGAAGGAAGGAUUGACGGGGAAAGCUGAUGUCGAGAAGGUCUGGGAGACGUCCAAGAAAGUCGAUGCCGCGUCCAAGGAUGACGAAGGGGAGAACAGGAGUAUGGGGAUUUCUUACCCGCAGAGGCCUGGGCAGCUUGACUGUGCUUACUACUUGAGGACUGGGAUUUGUGGAUACGGAGCCAACUGCAAGUUUAAUCAUCCUCCGAGAAUAAGGCUCACUCAGGUUCGUUCUCUUAGAUCAUAAGUUUGGGAAUUUGAGUCUUUGAUACAUAAUUCUUUGUUUUUUCCUGUUAGCUUGAAAAUCUGAAGGCAAGAACUCGGGAGCCAGAAUUGGUUCAGGUGAGUUAUAGCUCUAUUUCACCGAUCUGUACAGAUGUAAGUUUGUAAUUCUAGGUUUAUGUCCCUCAUAUGUUGUGAACUCUGGAAUGAGCAGUUUCUGUUAAUUUUAACUUGAUUCAGAUGUUCAACAAAAAAAAAAAACUUGAUUCAAGCAUCUGUAGAGGUUGGUUCUUUGACAGUCUAUCAUUGGGAUUUGUAGGAGUUUCUUAAGAGCAUCUUAUAUGUUGUUUCUGUUCUCUCCUUCAAAUGUAUGUAUAUCAAUAAAUGUUUAGUGAUUUUAACUUUCUUUUAUGUGGAAGUGUAUGAUUGCUUUCACUGUACUAACUUGUUCCGUAUUACAAAUGUGCUUUAUGCUUGCCUUGCUGGAUCACUUUUCGAAAGUACUUACCAUCCUUGAAAAUAAUCGAGCUGAUGAGUCUGCAUUUAUGAUCUUCAAGACACAUCACAUUAUGCUUUUGUUCAUAUGAGAAUGUCAUGAAGCAACUUUGUAAUGGUGUACCUCUUAUUGAUGGAACUUUGGAAUCUUAUGAUCCCUAUGGCAAUCUAACUUUAUCUCUAAUUUUAAGACAUGUACGCAAAUAUGGUAUUUGACGGGUUGGCUGUAGUAGCACGGCAGCCUUUUAGUUGAGUAGAAAACCGUGAAACUAAUUAAUGAAUCAAGCUAUAUUUGAACAUAUUCUCCUCAAUGUGAGUAAGUUUCAUGUAUUCCUUAUAUAACCUUAUUUGCAUCAGUUUUUUUUUUCUUUGCAGUUUUAAGUAUCCCAAGAACAAGCCUUGUGGCUGGAAUUCUGAACAGGUCCACAACACUUGUAAACUUGACAUGUUUUUGUUAAACUAGAUGGAAAAUUUAGUACAUGUUGGUAGGUGAGUUGUUAAAUAUGUUCAUUGAGCAUGUAAAGUCGAUGGAUGUCUACAAUGAUUAAAAAUGUUGGAAACAAGGAAGAAUAACUACUUGAAAUUAAUGUUUUAAGUACCAGUUUAUACCAAUUUUGCCAACUGUACCAAGAUAUCAACUAGUAUUUUGACUAUACCGACUGGUGCUUUAAACCCUUCUUGAGAUGUUCCCUUCCAUAAUCAAAAUCCUAAAUCCUGAGCCCUUGCUCUCUGUUUGCUUUUAUCAACCAAAUUGGUAUGAAGUAGAUUCUUAGGUUCUUCGUGUGGUAUUAAUAGUCCUUCAUGCACAAUGACAAUAGGAUACUAUUUCUUUUGUUAAAAAAAAAUAAAUCUCACUUCCAGUCAAUAGAAUUUUUUGAUUGAAAUCAAGGUUCACAAUUUCAUAUACUGGUAGUGUAUUAGUUAAGGCUCAUACCGGGAUGGUUAGUGUCAUACUGGUGUACAGAGUGUUAGUACAUCGGUACCUAUUGGAUUUCAGAUUUAGCCUUAAAAAAAGCAGGCAUUCGAUAUGCUGAUAUGUUCCAGAUUUUGGAUUUACCCUAAAAAAUUCUAGAAAUCAAGAGGAAACCCUAUUAGGGUUUUUUUCUCCCCUUUUCUAGUGAUAUACCAUCAAUUAGACAUCUAUAAACUGAAUUUAGACUACAAAACAAUGAAUGAGAUGUAAUACAAAGACAUAUACCUGCUUGGACCAUUACUAGUCCAUCUAGUGCCUGUACAGAUCUGGUACAUUCAGUGGUCAUUUCCCAUCAUAAUAAUCUUUCAUUUGGUCACUAGUUCACAAUUGAUUAAAGGAGCACAUUCAUUAAUUCCCACGACAUGUCAUUUCACAAUUUCUCAUCAUAAAUAUCCAUCAUUUGAUCAUUUCACAAUUUGUUUUCUCAUUAUUUUAUUGGCUCAUGUUUGAUUGAAGUUUUUUUAAAUGAUUAUCUUUAUUUUUAAUUAUACUUUUUUAUAAUUUUUUCAAGAUUUCAAGUGUUGAUAGGUAAUGGAUUUAUCGCUGAAAAUUGUUUGUUCUAAAUUACAAAAGAUUUUAACAGAAUAUAGAAUAUAAUUGAUUUGUAUAAAAAUAAAUGUCGGAUUGUGUCAUCUAGGUUUUAUUUUAUUUGUAAUACACAUUCAGUUAUAUAAUUAUGUUGUAAUUGAAAGUUACAUUUUUUUUAACUUGUAAUAUGCAUAUUCUUAUGUACAGUCUUCCUUGAUUCUCUGCAGUGCUUGGAUUUUUUUUUUUUUCGAUCUUCACUUCUAUUCACAUCCAUCUCAUUUAAGAUUGUUCAGAUUCAUUGAUACAUUUUUCUUGAACUGAAGUGAUUCUGUCAUGUGGAUGAACCCCAUUGUAAUUCUUAAUUACUUGAGUAUAUAUGCUUUUGGUUUCUGAAGAUUGCAAUACUUGUUGAAUGAUUGCCUUUUUUCUUUUGAAAAGAAUACACUUUUCAUUGUUUGUUAACUUAUUUAAUAUUUUAAUAUUUCAGCAGCCUAUUAGCAUGGAGGAAAAGGAGGAAUUCCCAGAAAAGGCUGGGCGAAAAGAAUGCAAGGUUGAAAGAAACCUGUAUUGCGUAUUAUCCUCGGGGUCUUACUUUAUGUUUAUUUUUAUUGAAUAAUUGUACAUUAUCGUCAAUGUAUUUAGCUUUAUCUUCAUUUGUCAUGUUUUUAGCGCUAGGUUGAGGGUGUCCUGUAGUUGCAUGAAUGUUGUGGCUUUUGUUUUUUUAUUUAUGAAUAACUUUCGAUGGUAUACUUUCUAUGUUUAUGGCUAUUAGCUAUUGUGUAAAAUACUUGUUUUGUUAAAUAACUUUAAUAUGCUUGGAUUCGUGACCUUUUGCAAAUUGUUUUGUUAAUCCUGUUUGUUUCUACAUUUUUUUGUCUAUUUACAUGUUGAGCAAUUAACAACUUCUUGUUUUAUAAAAGCUUUGCUACUUCCAUCAUUUGUUUUAUAGAUAACAGUUUCAAGAUGGUUUUUAGUUUGUUUUAUUGACAUAAUUUGUAUUCAAAAUUUUCCUACUUAUUGACAUUUCAUGUUUUUACUUUCGGCAUAGUCAUCUGUGGUAAAAUAAGCAGGUAGAAGAGUCAUAGGAGGGGGAGGGAAUGAUUCAUUUCCUAGAAAGAUGUCCUUCACUUUGAUCCUCAUUAAUUUGACCUAUCUAUCGGUAGUUGCACUAUACAGCUCAGUGAAAUUAGACUUUUGAUCAGAACCAUUAACUGCAAAGAAGAUAGAUCAAUGUAGAAAAAGGAACUAAUAGAAGAAUAUGUUAGCCGGAAAUCAUUACAAAGUUGUAAAUAUGAGAACAUGAAUAUUAUUUUCAAUAAUAACUAUUGAUAUCAGUGAACUGAUUAGCUGGUGUUUGUAAGACAAUUUAGAAGUGUGGAUGUAAACAAGAUAAUGGGAUUACACAAAACAUUUAUUGAGCAUUUGAUGACAUGAAAAGUUUUCUCAAUAUAACUAUGGGCUCGACUCAAGAAAGAAUUUUUACAUAAGAUAACAAAACUAUUAUAUAAACUGAUGGCUAUCUUAUUUAAUUGCAUGAUUGCUUCUUAGGUCUAUGUGUACCACACCUUUAAUGUGUUUGUUCUAGAUGGUCAAGUUCCAAAGUUCUCUAUUCUUGUGCAGACUUGGGUAUGUUUGUAAUCUCUAUUUCUGUCUUUCUUUUUCUCUUUCAAGAGAUUGUUAUCCUUAUCCUGAGUUUUAUUGCAAGCUUCUAUUCUGUUACUUCAUGAAGAGGUUUUGUACCUUUUUUAUAAGCACUUGCCAAGUUUUCUUUUUGCAUCUCAUGUUUUAUGUUCUGAAGUUUUUCUUUAUUAUGAAAGAAUUCAAGAUCCAAAUUAGGCAAGUCAAUAAUAGACCGGAUAAAUUUGGUCCAUUACUAAGCAAGGCUCUAGUUCUUAGUCAUUUCAUUUUGAUGUGUCAAAAAAUUGUUAUUCCAACAGUGGAACAAAAUGACAGAAUGGGUGUGUUGCCCUAGGUUAAGGGUCAAAUAAUCUUAACUUGAAAUUUUGAAUCGUUUGAACAGUUAGCAGCUCAAGGGGGCCAGUUGUCUAGAAUUUGACUAAGCCUUGUGCCAGUUCAAUUAAAUAACUGGUCUGGGGCUAUAACUAGAAGGUUCUGCCAUUCCGUUUAUUUCGGCUGGGGAAGGGUCUUCUUAGGUUGUUCCAUUAACUUUUGUGUUUGGUAGAGUUCUACAUUUUUUUGUUGUUGCGUAGAAAGUCAUUUACUCAGAAAAUAAUGAAUUACAUCAGUCUCGAAGAUCCCUUUUAUUAUACAAAUAAAAUGUAUAUAUAUUUUUUGUGUUCUAUGAUUGAAGUGCAAAAAGUGAUGUAAAUGAUUUAGUUUUAUUGUGUGUCUAGUUUUUAAGUUGGUUUCCUUGAGAAUCUAUUUAUAGAUCUGAGGUUUUUGCUUGUGAUGGAAGUUUCAAUGUUUUAUUGACAGUUUAAAAUGUCAACAUAUUCAUUUGAGGAAAUGUUCACAUGUUUUGCUAGUGAAAAAAUGUUUUAUAAAUUAUGAUGAAAGUUUGUCUUAGUAAUGAAUUGGCCAUUUCUAGAAUGCAAUCAGUUUUUUUAACUUUCUUUGCUGUCAUUUACUUAUCAUGGUGCUUGAUGUUUUAAUGAUUUGUGUUGGUUUUGUAGUUCUUCUUAAUGCCGGGAGGUUGCAAGUUUAGAAAUUCCUGCAUGUUUGCUCACUCUCAACAAAAACCUGAAGUAUCCGGAAUUAGGCUUAACUUUUUAGGGCUUCCAAUCCGAACAGUAAGUUUGUUGAUCUAUUUGCAUAUUAGUUAUUUAGAGACAAGUUUGAGGUGUGCCAUAUAUUUUCUUGAUUGACUUUUCACCUUGCAGAGUUCAUAUUUUUUCUACUCGAUGUGUUUAUUAUUCCAGGGAGAAAAAGAAUGCCCCUACUACAUGCGCACUGGCAGUUGCAAAUUUUCGAGUAACUGCUGGUUUAACCAUCCUGAUCCUACUGUUGUAACUGCACAAGAUUGUGUAUUGGAAUAUCAAAAUGGUGGAUCUCCUAAACGACAUGCUUCAGCGGAAAUGAAUAUGCCAAAUCACAUUCAUAGCUUCAACCAAACAGUUACUCACUUGGAUUCCUUACCAUCUUACAUCCCAAGCUUCGUCCCUCCUCCUAAAGGUUUCAACUUCAACCCUAACUUAAGGUCCCAGGUAACUUAUGGCUUGUAUUUAUUUAUCAUCUUCCAGACGAAAGAAUAUUUUUCUGCUUUUGCUAUUGAUAAAUUUAUCUUAUUUUUGUUGCACUUUACCCGGGUCUGUUUAUAGAAAUUGUUCCAAAAUUCUUAGAAUAUUUAUUUGAUGGGCUCUUGGUAAUUUGAUUUGUAGUUAUUGUUUAAUAACUUUUCCCUAGUUAUUUGUAGCUUUGAUCAAUAAAGGAAUUUUGUAUAUGACAGAUGCCAAUGAACGGUAAAUGGCAUAAGUUUACACCUUUUUUGGAAUCAUAUCAUAGUCUGUAACUGAAAUUGUGCUAUCAUGGUUUUUGAGUUUUGUUGUUAAUUGGCUCAUUAGAAUGUUAGUAUUCCUUUUUUCUUGUGGUGAUCUGCUUUUUCUGAAAACUUUGGCAUAUUUACCUUGAUCUGCAUUUUAGGUGUUAUUUUCUCCAAGUUGUUAGGGUUAUAUUGAAGUUAGCAUAUUAUUCAUCAUGAAACAAUAAUAAUAUUAUAAACACAGAUUCAACCCUUUACGGGUGCACUUAUUUGUGUCUUGUAUUUUUUUUUUGACUUUUUCUGAGCUUCUCUUGCUUCUUAUGGUUCUUACCACCAUUCAGCACAAACUAACUUUUAAAUAGUUUUAUCUGUUUGAAGUUUACAUAUUCUAUGUGGAUGUACUGAAGCUGAUCCACUGAAGUCCGUAUCCCUUUUAGUCGAUCAGAUGAUUGAACAUACAAAUGCAUUUUGUUUCAUCUUCAUAGUAGAAAAAAAUUUGUUGUCAAAUUGUCAGAGAGAAUUGUUUUUUAUUCUUCAGUCAAUCUUGAUACUGGAAGGAUGGUUUCAGUUAUCUACCCUAGUCAGUGGCUGAAGAAAGAUCAGUGUUAUAUUAUUUUUCUUAACAGUUAGUUUCUUGAAUGCUUUUUUGCAAGUUGACUAAUAAAAGAAAUAAUAUUAUGUUUUUAUAUUUUCUUUAUUGAUAUUAGAUUGCUUUAUUUGACUUUGAUUAUGAUCCUCUAUAUUAGGUCCCAUCAAGCCCAUCUUUCCCUUCAUCGAGGAAUAUACAGCAGCCUUUGUGUGCAAUUUCCAUUAGUAAUACAAGUGCUAUACAGCAGCAGGGAGACAUGGUGUAUCCUGAGAGACCUGGUCAACCAGAGUGUCCAUACUUUAUGAAGACUGGAGAUUGUAAAUUCAAAUCAGCAUGUAAAUUUCAUCAUCCAAGAAGUCGCCUUACAGGAAUUUCUAGUUGCAAUAUUAGUCCUCUAGGGCUUCCCUUGAGACCUGUGAGUUUCACUUAUAAAUUCUUGUACUUGAUAACUUUUGGUUUAUAUUCUUGAAGUUCUACUAACAAAUGGUUGUUUCUCUAGUUUUGUUUGCUAAAUACCUGAGGUCUGAAUGAUACUCUGCCGUGCUUUUUUUUUUUUGCCCAUCUGUUUUAACUUUUAUCUGGGUGGUACCAUCUAUUUUAUCACCAAUAAAUCUUUAUAACUAUUUCGUGGAUCGUGCAUCAGUCAGAGUCUUGGUGUUAAUUAUGUGCUGUAUUCAGUCACAAUGAAUCAGAGGUCUUUCCAUUGAGCCAUUUUAUAUACUAUAUUUAACUGGAUCAUUUUUAGAGUCAGUAGAAAAGGGAGAAGACCAGGUUUGCUGCUUGUGAUGGUUUUGCAUUAGGCAACCAAAUGUCCAGCUCAGAAUUCUGGUGUUAAGACUUUGCAGUUAUGUCAGAAAGCAACUAAUGGAUCAUUAUAUUUUUGAAGUCUGCUCUAUCAUAUUUCAGAUUUCCUUAAUUUGUUUUGGACAUUGCUUAUGAUUUUAAUUGUUUCUCAUUCACUUGACAUAUAUCAAUUUAUAUAGGAUCAACCAGUCUGUGCAUUUUAUAGCCGUCUCGGAAUCUGCAAAUAUGGGCCUGCUUGUAAGUUUGAUCAUCCAAUGGAUUUUGCUUCUUCGGCAUCACCAACAGGAAGAUCUGGAGAAGUUUCAGACUUGUGAAGAUGCUGAAAGAGAAGCCCUUCAAAGUACCUUAGUCUGACAAUCACCAAAUUGCUAUGCGGUGGAUCUGACUGCUGAUUAGCACAACUGAACGACCACCAGCUUUGGUAUUUUUUGUUCUCCAGCAACAAUUAAGUUGCUAUAUAUAUAUUUUUUAUUUUUUUCUCAGUGUUUUUGUACUGUAUAUAAAACCUUGCUGCCGAUAUGUUGCAAGUACUUUAGAGUUUGUAUCUUUUGUGGGGACAUCUACUGCAGGGGCGGGCUAUUUUUUCUUGAAAGCCGAGAUGGAAUAUUUAGUAAUAUCUGCAUUCCCAGUAAUGACUGUUGAUAUGGGCUUUGCCAUAUAAUAAUAUUGAGAGUAGUCUGCCAGAGCUGAUAUAUAGCUAUCAUAAUUGUUAUUAUUUGAUGGAAAAGAUGCAGCCUUUAGGUUGAGAAGUUCUCCAUGCCAUUGAUAAUUAGUGGUAAAGUGUAUUUCUCGUGAUUGAUUGUAUUUAUUUUUAAUUUAUGUCAUUCAUGAUUUGAUCAUGACAUGUUUAAAUUUUUGAAUUCAAGAGUUUUUAUCAAUAUGACAUAUUGAUAGGGGGAGUUUGUUUAAACUCUCGAAGUUUUGUUAACUCCGUCGAAUUUUAAUUUUUAAUGAUAUUUUAAUUUAUGUUCAAUCGAUAUGUAUUUAUAUUUUAAUCUGCGUUUUGAAUGAUGCGGGAUGUUUCGAUCAGAAUGAGACAAUUAAAGUUAAAAUUUUUUUUAUCAGUAAUUUUUUUUUUAAUGAUCUUUUUCACUGUCAUAUGUAAAAUCUUUUCCCCUUUAUUAUUAGCCUUUUGAAAUAAUCUAUCUUAUUUUUAACAGCAGAUUUUUAAAAGAGAGUGAUGACGGAGCUUUAUAACUGUUAUUAACGGCCUGUAGUGUUUCCCCGUUACACCCGUUAUAAUGGGCCUCUACCGCUUCCGUAUUCAUGCAGGGGUGUAUCUUGAUUCUGUUUGGCUGGGAUCCCCUCGAACAUUGGUACGAAUCUCAACACAAUCCGGCCGUUCAUAUUCAAACCUGAUGGCUGGACCCACCGAGGCCGUGGCAAUGGACGGUUCACGUUGGUUCUUGAUCGGUUCGCUUUGUAGGGAAUCAUGGAGAGGCACCCACAGGUUGUUUCCACCGUCGUACUUGGCGCGACAAUUAACAUUAACAACGUCGUGUUAUGGUGAUCUCUGUUAAAAGUGCGCCCCCCUCCGCUCGCCGUCUCCGCUGCUCCUCUUGGCUUCCGUGAUGGCCACCGCGCGGGUGCUUCUCCGCCGAGGCCUCCUCCCCGGUCACCGACCUAGCGCCGCCGCCGCCACCGCCACCGUCCGCCUGCUCCUGGCGCAGACCCACUCCUCCCUGUCAGAAUCGGCCGAGCCCAAGCGCCUCAAGACCUUCUCGAUCUACCGGUGGAACCCCGACCGGCCGGACUCGCCGCAGAUGCAGGAGUACGAGGUCGACCUCAACGAGUGCGGCCCGAUGGUGCUCGACGCCCUCCUCAAGAUAAAAAACGAGGUGGACCCGUCACUCUCCUUCCGCCGCUCCUGCCGCGAGGGCAUAUGCGGCUCCUGCGCCAUGAACAUCGACGGCGACAACGGCCUCGCCUGCCUCACCAAGAUCCCGGCCGCAGAGUCGGCGGCUGCGGCCAUGAUCACGCCGCUGCCGCACAUAUUCGUGGUCAAGGAUCUGGUGGUGGACAUGACCAACUUCUACAGCUAGUACAAGAGCGUGGAGCCGUGGCUCAAGCAGAAGGACCCACCGCCGGAGAUGGGGUAGGAAGUCCCGCAGAGCAACAAGGACAGGGCAAAGCUGGAUGGGACGCACGAGUGCAUCCUCUGCGCUUGCUGCAGCACCUCGUGUCCCAGCUGCUGGUGGAACCCCGAGGCAUAUCUUGGCCCGGAGGCUCUCCUCCACGCUCAUAGGUAUGUGCUUCUCCUUUGACCUUCCCUUGCAUCAUCGAUCGUAUAUUUAUCAAUGUAGAGAUAUGGUUUUUUAUUCCAAAGAAAUUUUCUUCAUAUGUAUGCGUCUCUUGCAAUGGUCCUUCUUUCUUAGGUGAUGAUUAAUAUAUAUAACAUGAUGGGGGAGAUUGAACAGUUCGUGUUUUUAGAUCAUUGUCUCAGCUUCUUGUGAAGCAGUUGUUAAUUCUCAUUACUGUAUAAAAAUAUUAAUGAUCAAAGCGCAUAGAACCAAAAUAUAAGCUCACUAUAUGCUGGCAUUUGCAAGAAAUAUUCAGAAAAAAGAGAAGAAAAUACCUAUAAUUUGAUGCAAUCAUGUUCAAAUUAUGUAAGAUCAUAUCAUUAGCCCCAACAUGUUCAUUGUAAGGACUGAAACUUGCUUGUAUGCACCUACUUAGUUAUUUUUCUUUUGACAUCAUAGAGUACUCAGGUAUAUUUGAAUGAUGGAUAAUUUUUUUCUUAUAAUGUUUCAGCUGGAAAGUGGGCUCGAGAAGUAAGAACUAUUAAAGUUGUGGCCUUUAUGUUUUUCUCCAGUUUAUUUUUUUAUUUUAUAGUGCAUGCUGUUGCUGAUAUAUAAUUUACUGAAUCAUGAUUUUCUGUUUUAUUAUAUUGUGAUUUGGAUAAAAUAAAAAUUUUAUUUGGAUAACAAUCUGGCUCAAGUUGUUUAGAUGGAAACCACAUGCUAAAUUUUCAUCUUGUAACAUUGCAAGAAUUUGCAGAAGUCUGUAUGGUUGUACCUGGUGAUAGAUAACUGUGUACCAUGAAACUGUUUGGUUAUUUUCUCAUCUUUAUUAUUUUUUUAAGCCCUUCUUUUGUUUUGAAAUGAAAGUGCUUAUGAGUAUCUGAAAGACCCGUAUCAAGUGCUUAAGAAGGUUGUAUUUGUGGCUGGAAAAACCCUCUCCAUGACAUUAGGAAAUUAAGGGGUAGAAUUAUUUGUAAUUCUUAAUGCUCAUAGAUUUAGGGAUGAAAAUACUGUAAAGUUAAUGAAUUCCAUAAUUCACAUGUGAAUUUCCUAAUAUUGUUAUCAUUUAUUGGGAUAUCUUUCUAUAGAUAUUACUUUAUCUAUAAUAGUGGCAUCUCAUUAUUAUGGUGAUAAUGUUCUGUAUUCUUCUAUUCACUUUUAGUUGUACCAUAUCUUCCAUAUUUUUUGCAGUAUUCAUAGUCUUAAUAUCUUAAGACUAGCAAGUUGCCCAAGAAACUUUUGCUUAGAUCUUUCUUUAAGAAAAGUUAGGUUAACUAAGAUUUCCAAGGUAGUGAGAUAGGUCUUUCUCAUGUUUGUUUCUUCAGUAUUUUUUUAUCAUUUUAUUUCCAUUCUUGUACAAUCAUUGAAUUCUUCAAAAUGUUUGUUUAAGUCUCUGUGAUAAAAAGAAACCUGCGAAAUGCUUCCACAAGACUUGGUUUUUAGUAAAGUUAUCUAUGGACAUCAAGUUUUCUUCUCUCUCCUUGUUAUCUUGUUUCCUUAUCUUACACAAUAUUUCAUCAGAAUCUUUGUUUCAAGGAAUAAAAUAUCUUGGCUUGCCAGAUGAUGUCUCCAAUGAUGAUUGUGCCACAUGUUUAUUGGCUAAGCAUGACAUAUUAAGAUCCUGCUUUUUAGCCAUUGGCAGACAAUUUAUGAGUUUGAUAAGAAUUAAAUAAUGCUGAAUAGGGAGAGGAGACAUACUUGAAAGAUUUGCCAGACCUGGGGAACUGAUUUCCUCGCUGAUUUUUGUGUAAACACUAAUCCCCUUUUUUAUUCUCCAACAGUAAAAUAAAAUGAUUUUAUUUACUAAAAUAAAUAUGAAAGCAAGUAUCUAUCGCAAAAUCCAACUGUAAUGCACCCAGUUUUUUAUAGGAAGAGAUGCUGAGAAAUGACCUGUUAAAAUGAAUUCUUUCAAUUUGGUUAUGGUACUCUAUAAAACAUUUUUUAAGGCAAGUAGAAUUGAAGUUAGUGAUGGGCUUUCCCAUGCAUCUUACAACUAUGUUCUACUAUGUAUCUCAAGUUUAUCUGUUGACAAGUUAUAACUACAAAAAUAUUCAUAAAUUGUCUGCCAGCCCAGAUGAACUACUUAUAAUCUGAACAUGCUACGGUAAGUCACUGCUAUUGUUAUGUAUCUAAUUGAUUUUGAGACAGAACUAUUAUUAACUAAAAAUUUGAAAGGAAAUUGAUAUCAGAUAUGUAUUGAAGUGCGGCAAAUAAGUUUAAUGCAGAAUUAUGCAACUCCUAAACACCUUGACUUUAUUCUUUGCUUGCUGCUAUGAUAUAUUUUCUGUAACUGCCACCAUUUGUUAGGACUCUGUAUGCUGAUAUGGCUGGGGUAAGGAAAGCAUUGUGUGCUUCCUAGAAAGCUAAUGCUAGCAUGUGUACCUUUGUGUCAAAUUUGAUGAGUUGUGUACAACAUUCGUAUCAUUUUAAAUGACAAAAAUAACCAUGUGAACUUUUACUUGUGAGCAGAUUUUAUGGCACGAACUUUGGUGCCAAUUAUUUGGCAAAGGUGAAUGAACUUUUGCAACUUCAGCGAAUAGAUAAAUACUAAUUUAUGGGUCGAUUAGCUUAUGAGUUAGUUUGUGUUAUAGUUAUUGGCAUGUUGGUAUCCACUGUCAUGUAGUCUAGACAGCUUGAUCAAAUGAGUCCUACUUAAAUACCAAAAUCCAUCUUUCUGAAGUAUUCCAUAUUCAGGAUUGUGGGGAAGUAGGUAAAAUAUGUACUUUAUCCAAGUUGCAGUUGACGAUCUCUGACCUGCAAAUAUAUCCAUUAUAUUCAAUCUGCUUUUAAGGAUCAAGUAGGUUUCUUAUGGAAAGAGAAAACACAAGGUUUUGCUUUCUACACGGAUAUCUUUGAUUGCUUAAUUCAUACAUUCUAUCUAAAGCAUGAGCCACUUAAAAUACUUGUGGAUUACUGGAUUGUGGUUCAUCUCACUAUAAUUACUCAGACAAGUAGAUAGCUGUUUGUGCAUGUACAUAUGGGAUUGUGUUUUUUCUAAAGACUUAGAGAUUGAGCAUACUUUUUAAUGUAUAAUAUAUAUUUUUUAAAUUGUAACAAUAUCUAUUAAGGUAUAAAUUCCUUGAGCUUAUAGUCACAGCGCAGAAGUUCCUGGGUGUGGCUAAAAGACCUUGAGUUAUUGAUUGUAGAGAUACAACAAUAGCAUUUGGAAGUUGUUCAGAACUAAACAUGUAAAAUUUUGUGCAAUGUUCAUGGCCAAAAUAUGAUGUCUCCAAUAUUUUGUGCUUUUGUUGGACCAUCAUGUAAUAAUGCUUGGCUGACAUAGCCCUUAAAACUUCUGUAUCUAUUUUCUGGAUACUUUUCUGAAAAUUCUGGUGUUAGUUACUGUUACUUGAUAGUGAUUGCAAUAUGGUGUUCGAGCGAACAAGCAUAUGUUGAGAAAACAGGUGGAAGAGAAGGAAAAUGAAAGCAAAAGAAUGUAAUGUUGGUAAUUUCUAUCCUCAUGACUGGUAUAUAUAAUCUCUUCGUUGUACGACUCUUCUGCUAUUUUUUCCUAGCCAUUUCAUGUUGAACUCUUUGGAAAAUGCUUCCUAUUUUCUUUCUGUUUUGUUUUUUGCAUUCCUCUGUUGCAUGUUUGCUUGUUAUGGAGCUCGGAUUCUCUUUAAUUCAAUUUAUGGACAAAUAUUUUCGCAACAGUUUGUUUACUCUGUUGAGUAGGUGGAUACAAGAUAGUCGGGAUCAGUACACAAAGGAGCGGCUCGAGGCAAUAAAUGAUGAAUUCAAGCUAUACCGCUGCCAUAAUAUCCAGAACUGUGUGCAUGCUUGCCCCAAGGGAUUGAACCCUGCGAAGCAAAUCAAUUCGCUCAAAAAGCCUCAGCUGCAGUAACAUGUGCAGAUACACCGCCACUAGUCUUUGUCGCAAAGAUGGUGCCCGGUACUUUUCUUUUUGCUGAUAAUAAUCACAACUGAGUGCAUACUUUUUUAGUUCCUACUUCCUGUUUAUGCCUAAAAUAAGGACCUUAAGCUUUUGUCUUCCGUUGGAAGAAUGUGAUUAAGCCAUGCCGUGUUUGAGAUGUGCAGCCCUUGCCGGUCAUUGACCUGAAACCAAAACUCAUUGUUUUUGUUGCAUAUUUCAUUGGGAUCCAACAUCGCUCCCAACUCCCCGCAAUUGAGCCUUUCAUCUUGAUGUUGCCAACUCCAUAUUAUGCUUUGUUUAGUGCAUACUUAUGACCUGUACACUUCAUCACUAUCACACUUCAAUCUCUGUGACUUUCCCAAGACUGCUCUGCUUGCGUGAACAGCGCUAGUUGCUUUGCUAACCUCAAAUCUGUUCUCAAAUUCUAUUAUUCUCGUCAUUAUGGGUUCUUGCAUGGGCCUCUCCGAGACCAUUUAUAUUACUCUCACUUGUUCAUGUUCUCAUCUUCUGAUCCAUGGUAUAGACAUUCAUUGCAGUAACAAACAAAAUCUAAUGAGUUAGAGUUGUUCAUUCUCUAUUCUCUGGGAAAAACACGCAUGCUUUGCAGUGAUAUGUUCCUUCAUUCUUUUGUAUUUCAAGAUCUCUAAUUAGAUUUCAAUAUGAAAUGUUCAUAAAACAGGGAAAUGAAACGAGAGAAUUGAGGAGUGAAUGGUAGCAAGCGUUGCCCUCUGCGGAAUGCAUCCCAAAAAGAUGGUGGGGAUCUGGAAAAGCGAAGCAGGGGGGUGGGUGAUGGGUCUUAAUCUGGAGGCUGCCUGCUCGUCAGUACUUCUCCGAUUCAGUUGAAAGCUACAGGAGAUGAGAUUAAUCCUUUUCAGAAGCCAUUCAGGAACGUAUACUGCCCACCUCUCACUCCCAACUCCUUUUGUGUUUGCCCCCAAGUGCUGCUGCCGCUGCAGGUUUUGCUUUAUCCUCCGUACCGCAGCGUGCGUGUAGGCAGCAGCCUCAACCAAAGUUGUGCCACAUAAAUCAUACUUCAUCAGCUGCUCUUUACAUACUGUAUAUUAUAGUCUUACAUACAUUAUAUUAUACUGUAUAUAGACGAAUUUUCGAGAAAAAAAAAUUAUUUUUACUUUUUUUUUUCAUUUAUUGUAGUCCUUCAAAUAUCCCUAAUAGGACAACUAGAGCAUAUGAUGAAUGAUCUAAUCGUUCAAUUAUAAUAUUUUUGAAUGAACUUAUAAUAUUUUGAUGAAGACAUAAAAAUAUUGUAACUUCAUAUUCUUAUCCCUAAAUUAAUAAGAGUACAUAUUUUAAAUCUUAUUUUAAAAUAAACUUAUUGUGUCUGUCUUGAGGAAUGUGUCAAAAACACUAUAAUUGAUUCUGCAAAUCAAUUGAUCGUGGAAAUAUUAGAAAGAUUUUUCGAGAAUAUAUAUAUAUAUAUAUAAUAAUAAUAAUUAAUUUUUUAUUUGAAAAUGAUAUAUUGAUAAGAAUUGAAAUAGUGAAAUAAAAUAUCGAGUCUUAAUAAUUUUAAAAAAUUAAAUUAAAUUAAUAUUUUAUCUCAUGUAUAUUUUAACAAAUUUUAAAAAAUAUUAUAUUAAAUGAUUUGCUAAAGAUUUAUUAUUUAUAUAAUAAUAUACUAAUCGAUCAAAAUUGUAUAUAUAUAUAUAAUUAUUAGAUAUUUUAGGUUCGAAUAUGAGAAUUAUCACUUUAUACAAUAAUACAUUAACCUACUCGAAUAUAUCAAAAAAGACCGAAAUUAACAUCCAUCAAUUUAAUAACUAAUAUAACUACAAUUGCGUGAUAGUUGGCUCGAGCCGUGAAGCGUCGGUCAAUGGCGCUGACCGGGGGUGGGGACGGGGAAGGACACGUCAUGGGGGAUAUCGGCCUACGUGUUCGACGCGUCUACCUGUCGGGCACUUGGAUUCUGACAACCCCACCCUGGCCGCCUCGAUGUUCGAGCCCUCCCUGUCCCUUUCCCCUUCGUCUUCUCCCCCCUUGGCGUUUCGUCUUCCCUCAAAAACGUCGUCCCACGCCCGCCCCUUCCCUCCCUUUGCAUGCAGAACAUCCCAAUACCCGGACAAUGCGACGCCCCCUCACAUCGCCUCUCUCUGCUGCUAUUCGUAGAACGGUAUUCUUCGUAUCAGCGACGACAGUAAAAGGGCGGCAACGUACAGGUGCACACAGUGAUGGAACGAUGGACAAGGACUGCGCCCCAUCACACCGUCCGCCGGCCAAUUAUGUUGGAGGAAUGAUAAGGUGGGAGUGCUGGCGUUCCAGCCCUGAUACGUAAUGUAUCGUCCAUCAUCUUAAAGGUGCCUGCCGCCUCGCCUGUGAUUCCAACCACGUCGGCUCCAUAGGUCUUCCCAAGAGCAGACUACGACCGGUGGUGACACCCUUUGCAUUAAUUAGAACCGCUUCUUCUCCUUGUGGAGAAUGUAGUCAAAACAUUUAUCUUCUUUUUCUUCUACUAUAUAUAUAUAUAUAUAUAUAGCAUAAAAUAAUGAUUUAUGUGAAGAACAAUAUCAUCAUCAACAACCAUAAUUUGACCACCGUAUUCUGAAGACACUCGGAUGCUGUCAUUGCAAGCUUAAAUUAUCCAAGAAAAGAGGCCGGAGAAAGAUGUCUAUGGGCGCCUGGCGUGAGAUGGGAUGUAUCGACUCGACCGGUACACAGUGCUCUGAAGUCGAUCAUUUAGUUGAAGGAUAGGUGCAGCACAGCUUCGCUCAGCCCUACGCUGGUCUCGUCACCGCCGCCGCUGCCGACCACAUCGUCGUCAUCAUCAUCAUCAUCGCCGCCGUCGGCGUUGUCGGAUGGCGCGUGGGUCGAGGUGGUGGUGGAGGACGCUCCGCCGCUGUCGGCUACCUGCUGCGACGCGUCGGCGAGGUCGGUGCCUUGGCAGUGCGUCCAGGAAAGGUCCUCGAGGCGCUGCUCGCUGCCGACGGCGACGACCGGGACAGGUUCCGAGAGCUGCCUCCCGUCGCGGGGCGGAGAGAAGACCACGGGCAUGUACUCGUCGUUGUCGCACGCGAACUUGGACUUCCUGAAGUGCUCCUUGAGCGCCUCCAAUCCCUUGAAAGAGAAUUCAGGUAGGUAACAGUAGAAGACAAUGACGAACACGAGAGAGACCUGUAGCAACCUGCAACCGAGCGUAGGUGACUUGGCAGAUCUUGCGGGAGUUGAAGACCUCCCAUGGCUGUUGGUGGAAGGCUUUGUAGAGCCUGAACGCGGCCUCCGGCGACGUCAAGUUCACGAACCCGUACCCAACGUUGCACUUGUUGCUUCACAACGUCAACAAGCCACGAGUCAAUCCAAUGACUACUACUGCUACUACACAAACACUAUUCCAAACGACAAUUAGCUUUCUAAUAAUUUUUCUGCUGCUUUUCCUACUUUGGAUUCUGAUGAGAGAAAAAAACAAAAAGGCCUUAAUCAGUAAUAUCUCUGAAACCCUUCUGCUGUGUCUCAUCAACUGGUGGAAGCACAAGUAUGAUCACGACGGAUGACUCUGUUUAUAUUCUAUGAUGUCUGCAAGCCUUGCUUGCUGAUUAGGGUUUGAUGGGUUCAUUCUCCUUUCACGGUUUCACACACUUGGAGUGAGUGAAUGAUAUCUUUGCUCCAGCGGGAGGGAGGUGAGAUCGCGGUGAGAGAGAAAGGAAAGAGGGGAUCUGUCUUUAUGUGCCAGCCAGCGAUCUCAUUGCCAUUAGGGUCUCUAAAGCCAUUUGGACGCAGCAGCGUACGGGAAUGAGAGACCAGCUCGUGAAACAGCAGCAGCUGCCGGCAGCGAUCCCCCUCGUCUGCCCGUCUUGGCUUGUGAUCCCUCCUCCUCCCUCUUUCUCUUAGCAUAUAUAUAUAUAUCUGCGACGACCUCCUCUCUCUUUCUCUCUCUCUCUCUCUCUCUCUAUCUAUCUAUCUAUCUAUCUAUCUAUCUCUAGAUUCAAAAACUUACUUGAAGUCGAUGGGUAGGUAGACGAAGUCGUAGGCGGAGUAGGGCUCGUCGGCUCCCUCGCCAGUCUGCUCGUUGCACUGAAUGCAGUGGUUGUCGAGCAUGUUCAACAGCAGCUUCUGACUGCAUUCCGGAGAGAGAAAUAGAACCGAGUGAAGGAUGCAUGUAAUUAACCAAUGGAGAUCAUAUGUAUGUAGAAACUCCGACAUCUGGAUAAGAUACUUUGAGGUGGUGGGGAGGGGAGGAGUGGGGGACCUGUACUUGUUUGGGAUGUUCUUAAUCAUGACUGUAGUUCUGGAAUCCCUACAAGAGGAUUCGGAUGAUUCCUCCGAUUCCACUUCCUUGAAGAGGAACCUCGACUCGCUGCUCCCGCUCUUGCUUCGGUUCUUCCAACUCCUCCUGCUGCCGCCGCUCGAUUGCUGCUGCUGCGGUGGCGGCGGCGACGAUGACGAUGAGGGACGAUUGGAGCUGCCGCUGCUCUUGGCCUUCCUCCCACCACUACUGUUACUUCCGCGUCUUCUGGUAACAGCAGCGGGAGCCGUAUUGGUACUGGUCUUCUUUGGCACCACCGUAGAUCCCUGGCUUGCUUCCCCGCUUGCUCCGGGAAGCGAGGACGAGGAGGAUGAUCUCGCGGAAGCUCCACUUGCUUGUGACCAUCUGCUGGGCUGUGAACCGCCUCGCAGGAACCUCGGAGGCAAGGGGGAACCGCGGAGGCCGUGGCCGUGCACGGCUUCCCUCCUCGGGUAAUUGCUGUCGUAGCAUGCGAAACUUACACCAUCGGUAAUCCGUCGAGGAUCCACGAACAAGCGAAACAAAGCUUGGAGUAAGAAGAGUAAGACCUCCGGCCUUGGCCGCUACCAGGUGUACCAAACUCCAGCAGCAGCAGCCUGCCAUUGAUCUCCUUCCCGUUGAGCUCGGCGAGAGCGCGAGCUGCGUCCCUCGUGUCGAAGAACUCCACGAGCUUGUGUUGCGGCUUCGAGGGCGUCUCCCUCACCUCUUUGAGAGCUCCUGUCAGGUGAAAGACGACGAUAUGUGUGAGUGAACAAAAGGCCAUACGGCAAGAAUGAUGAAACUGAGGACGACAGAUGCCUUCAUAAUAGAAUUCGUUGUCUCUUACUCGACAACGAUGAAACAAAGUAAAUCGGGCCCAAUAGUUAUUGCAGGUGAAAUAUGCAAUAUAAUUACGAUUUGUUGUUCCUCGAUCGAUCUAUCUUUGGGAGGAUGGGAAUAUAGAGAACUGAAACGACACAAGAAGUAUGAGGAAAAGAAGAAACUAUGAGAACGAAGAUUGCAGGAGAGAUGAAUAUAUACCGAAUGGCUCGAACAUGUCUCUGAGAGUGGCGAAGGAGACGCGCGGAUCGGAAUUGAGGACGAGGAUAGAACCCUGGUUGGGCUCGUCGAGCGAUGAGGCUGCGAACUGAGCCCAGACGGCGUAGCCCGCUAUCGUCCCCAGCCCGCUGCCGCUGCCGCCGCCGAGCUCCGGCGAGCGGUACAGCCACGGCGGCGCCCAGUUCCCGGGUGCGCCGCCGUACCCGAUCCGGGCUUGCCGCCGCGCGUGCUGCUCCCGGACCUCCGCCACCGCCGCCUCCGCGCUCCGCAGGUCGUAGAAGUGCACGGUCACGACCCCGUCCGCAGCCAGCGCGCCCAUCUCCACCGCCCGGACUCCGCCGAACGCCUCCAUCCCCGCCCUCACCUCGGCCUCCCCCACGUGCCGGGGCACCAUGCUCAGCACCACAGCCCUCGUCCCCGUUGCCAUCUCCACCUGCUGCGGCUGCUGGUGGUGGAACACCGGAAGCGCGACCGCCAGCGGAGGGGGAGGAGGGUAGCUGUAGUAAAUUUGCGGGUGGCCGAGAGCGAACUGGCCUGCCACCGGGUAGAACUCCGCAGCCGCCGGAUCUAAAGGGUUCCCCCGGCCUCCCCCCUCNNNNNNNNNNNNNNNNNNNNNNNNNNNNNNNNNNNNNNNNNNNNNNNNNNNNNNNNNNNNNNNNNNNNNNNNNNNNNNNNNNNNNNNNNNNNNNNNNNNNNNNNNNNNNNNNNNNNNNNNNNNNNNNNNNNNNNNNNNNNNNNNNNNNNNNNNNNNNNNNNNNNNNNNNNNNNNNNNNNNNNNNNNNNNNNNNNNNNNNNNNNNNNNNNNNNNNNNNNNNNNNNNNNNNNNNNNNNNNNNNNNNNNNNNNNNNNNNNNNNNNNNNNNNNNNNNNNNNGGCCGUCCUCUCUCUCUCUCUCUCUCUCUCCUUUAAAGAAAACCGCUACGUACUCAAAAACCGGUACGGGAGGCCGCUACGCCGGAAGGGAAGGAAAGCGACAAUCGCAAGAGAGGGGAACAGAGUGAAGCGAGAGAGACAGUGCCGUUCUAAUGCGGUGGCGAUGUACCGGCGCACCAACGUAACGUUAUCCUGACGUACCUUCACGCCGCUAUUCCUACCAUUACACGCCCCCUCGUCCCUCACCGCCUCCCCAGUGUGAUGCGGGAACAGAGGGGUGCAAAGUGGACAAGCCGGGGGUGUUCAUAUCACAAAUAACCGGGGGGUGGGGCAACGGGAAACCCUUCCCUACCCCCCCGACAGUCGCGAAAUUACGAAAUCGACCCGCGGUCAACACUGCGCGCGUGCAUGUGUUGCUACAUGGGGAAUGGCAUGGUUAGCCGGGUCCCACAUGUGGGGCCGGAGGGAGUCUCUCGAUAUGCCCUGUAAACAUUGGAUGUUGCCAAUAUAGCAAAUGGUUGGAAAAGAGGUCUGCCCACUUUGCCUUGAAUGCUGGUGGUGUUGGUUUGAUGGGGGCAAACCCAAUGUAUGUGGUGAUUGAUAAUUGAAGCAUGUUCCAAGGAAAUCAGAAUUGGGGUUGUGAAAGAUUUGAUGCUGUGGAUGAGUUCUUGGCUAAAGAAUGUAAACAUAUCAAAGAAAUCUAUAUGAUACUCUACUGAUACAUAAUGGAUGAUCAGAAAAGAAAUCUAUGUAAUAGUCUAAUGAUCAUGAACUGAGUGAAAUAGGUGACCAACAAAAACAAUCUGACAAAGAGGAAGAUUAUGUCAAGAGGUUGUGUUUGAGCUCCAUAUGAAUUAGCAUUUUGGGCCAAUUACAUGAGUAAUAUUAUUUAUUCUAUGAAUAUUUUUCCUCAGUACUUUAUACAUAGGAGUUUCUCCUACAUUAUUGCAGAAGACUUCAUUUUUUAACCUCAAAUAUAUAUAUAUAAUUUUAUUCUUUUUUUAACCCUAAUAUGAACAUAUUAUGCUAUAUCUGUUUGGCUUUGGGACAAUUAAUACCUUUUCUUUGGUCAAUGAAGCAGUGUUCCUCUUCAGCGACUCUGUUUCAUGCUGAAGAGGAACACUGCUUCAUACCUCUCAUCCAAUCCCUAUACUGCAGACUCCCUCACCGAUCACCACACCACUCUAUGUUCCUCAUUCUUAGCAUGCCCUCAAUUGUUGGUCUCUGCACUCUUUAUAUUCUGUCACUUAUUGCUUGUGAAUUCUCACACACUCAUGCCAUCUUUCAUGUAAUUUUCUGUAAAUUCCAUCACUAAAAGCCACAAGGAGAAGAAGAAGAAGAAGAAGAAGAAGAAGAAGAAGAAGUUAACCUGAAUCAAACACAAAGUCAAUGGAGCAUAAGAUCUUUAGUAGCUAGUUAACCUUUAUUGAGAAGUAGCGGAGCAUAUAUCAACAGUACAUAGAGCGUUAUAGUUUCAUCUCCAAGCCAUGCAUGGUACUCUCAGGUUGCUUUGAUGGUGGCGCCCUUGCCGUCGUCGAACCUCUCCAGGUGUACCGCCCUGCCGAAGCGCCCGACUUGGCACUUCUCCUCCUCCUCGCUCCCCUCCUUGUGCUUGUAAAUGGCGUGAAGGUUGGGGAAGUGCGGCCCUUCGACCAUGCUCGUCGUCUUCUCGAUCCUGGCGACGUAGCUCAUGUAGUCCUCGCCGUGCAGCCUCGCGUAGUUCUGCUGCUGCUGCUGGCUCCUGUACGACAUUUCCAAGGUUGCUUCUCCUCUUCCACCCACCCCUCCAAGGAGUCCUCGAUCGACGCUAGCUGCCGAGCUCCUCCCAUGGCGUUCCCUUUUGUAGACAGAGAUGAGGAAGAACUUGUUCUCGAAUGACUGGGGAACACUUUAUUCCCUCGAUCGCAUCCGCUGCGACAGCUGCACCAACGCAAUUUGCAUGGUCCUCAGCUGCGCAUGAGGUAAUAAUGAUCAUGGAAGAAGGUUCUUCGGUGAUGAGGUCGGAGGAUUCUGCGAAAGGUAUAUGUACCACUAAAGUAGUUGUUCUCAGGGAAAAGUCUUGAGCUACAAGCCAGUCCGCAAAAGUCAUUGUCGAGGAAAAAGUAAGAUGCGUGAUGAACAAAAGAAGAACAAUGGCGAGGAGACCAAUACUUCCCAGAAUUCUUGCAGCCUACUUAGGCAGGCAGAAGACUUCAGCUCAGUUCAACAAGGAUUCCAAAGUUUGGGAAAGUCCAUCAUCUGUGUUCGCUGGUGUAAAUUGUUUGCUAUUAGGAAAUGAUUUGCUCAAAAUGCACAUCAGGAAUGAAUAAUAUAUAGGUAAAGAAACAAUACAACAAUGAUGACUUCUAAUUUUUGACAGAAACAAGACUUUGGUCAUCAACACCUAAAAAUUUAAUAUCUAAAACAGUAGUUUAAUGGUGUUUAUAUUGAACCCUCUUUUGAGAAUUUUAAAUUUUAUUUGAUCAAUUAUAUAUAUAUAUAUAUAUAUAUAUAUAUAUAUAUUCUUUCAGAAAUGUCUGUUAGCUUAGUUGAUAAAUAUAUUAUCAACUAAGAUAACUGAUAUAUCAAUGUUAGGUUUUCUAUUUAAGACUCUUAAUUCUACAUAAACUCCUAAGAUACAUAAUUAACAUCUAAUUACAUAUAUAUAUUUUUAAAAAAUUAAAAUAUUUACUUUUUUCGAUCGAAUAUUUUUUAAAGACGAUAUUACCUUUGGCUUUCAUCUUAUUGUAACAGUCAUCGUCGCUUCUCGCCUUUACUAUCAUGGAUGAUACGAAGGCGAUCGUGAUGAUGGAAAUAACCUAUGAUAUAUCGUAACAAGUAACGAUGAUAAAAUAACGGUUAAAUGUAGUUUGAUCUUGAAAAAAAAAUGUUAUGCAAGAAUAAAACAUAAAAAAACUUUUUUUUUGAGAAUUUAUCUUUCAAUUAAUGAUUUGAAAUAUCUAUUUACCCUUUCAAAGUUAAUAACUCAUUUACUCUUCUAAAUAUCAUAUUCUUUCGUAAAUAAACAUCUCAUUAACUAAGGCUCCGCACCUCUCUCUCUCUCUCUCUCUCCUUUGUCGCGCCCCCAUAGUUCUUGUUCUCUGCUCAUCGUCUCUUCUCCGAUCGAUCCUUGUCCAAUUAGAUUCGAUGCAACUCACUCUGGAGUUUGGGUAAUCUCUCUCGCUUUCACCUCCACUUAUUCUUGUUUUGGUUUCUAUCACUUGGUCUCAUCUCACCCUUUUCCCAAUCUGUGGUGGUUUUAGCGGCGGCCUGGAGCUCCUUUGCCAAUCCUCCAAGAUCCACAACGUAGAUGUGAAACCAAACCCCGGUGAGGACAAGGUACGAACUCAUCAUUUCGCCGCCUUCUUUUUAGGGUUAUUGUAGUUAGUCAUCUCGUGGGGCGGCAUAACUCGCAGCUAACGAUGCGCGACCUGUUGGCUUGGGUCAAGUCGAAUUUGAUCAAGGAGCGACCUGAGAUGUUCAUGAAAGGGGACUCGGUGUAAGUUUUUCUGAUAGAUUAUAGAAAUGAGAUAAUUCCGAUCUUGGUGAUGCAUUCGUGUAAAAUUAGGGUUUUGGAGACUUUGUUUCUUGAGUUCGCGAAUGGUAUUUGGUUGUUGGGUGUGUAGGAGACCGGGGUUGUUAGUACUCGUAAACGAUUGUGACUGGGAACUAUGUGGCAGCCUCGACACGGAGUUGGAGGAGAAGGAUGUCGUGGUCUUUUAUCUCUACCUUGCAUGGUGGUUAGCAUCGGUUUGCAGGGUGACAACAUCUGUUGAAUUUAUCAGUCCGUACAUAUUAUCGACUGUUCUCCCCAUUGUUCAGAGCCUUGUUGCUGGUGUUUGUGACUAAGUGAAUGUUUUUUGCUUUAGAAUAGCUCUUUGUACAUGGAAGGUUUUGUCCUUAACAAUUGUUGAGGAGUAGGAUAUGAAAAUUAUCUUGAAAUUCUGUACAAGGACAUAACAUUUAAGGUUCCCUUAUCUGAAGAUGAUUUUUAUAUAUGCCUAUUGGAUCGUUAGUAAACUACGAAAACAGGCGUAGGCAACUGACGCAAAAAUGACAAUUGAGUGUCCAAGUUAUGUUUUCUAGUUCUUUUGAUACUAGUAAAGACAAUCACAAAAUGCUGCAGCAUUUUGAACUCCCUUGAAUUUUACAAAGUCAAAUCCAUCUAUAGGGAAGAUAAACAUAGCCAACUGGUUGGCAGUGCAUGCUAGACAUUCUUCUUUUGAUCUUUUCUUGAUACUUUUUAUUCUACUGAUAUGUGGUAUUUUGGUUUCUCAUGCUAUGAUAAAAAGGACUGCACCCAGUACACCACCAAUGCGGGUUUUGGGGAGGGUCAAUGUACACUGCCUUAAUUAUAAUUCCUGUUGUGAUUAAAUAAUAUUUUUUUAAAAAAGUAAGGUAUUCAUUAGAACUUACAUCAGAGGAAGAAACAUUGAUUAUAUUUAAUGUACUUGUAGCUUAAAUGCUCAAUUUGAAUAAUUUGGUAAUUUCUUUUCCUAUGUUGGUCUAGCUGAGACAAUUCUGACUCCUAAAGUAGCAAAGUUGUGAAAAGUAGAUGAUAGAAAGUGUCUCCAUCUGAUAUAUAUGUUGUACUUGUGGACCACCAAGCAAAUUUAUACUCUGCAUCUAAUUACUCGUCUUCAAGAAUUGUUUAGGCUUUAGGUCAUUGAUUGAUUUACUUGAACUUUGAAUGUAGUAACUUAUUGGCAACCCCUGUGAAAAAUUGACAACAAUGCUAUUCUUAUAAAUCUUGAUAAUAAAGAUCUUGGAAGGAUAAAUUCUUGGUGAUUUCUUGGUUUUAUGACUGUGGACUAAAUUCUUGGCCAUUUCUUGUAGUUUAAGUAAUGUGCAGUUAAAUUUAUGUUUUGCUGAAUAAUUAUUGCUCCUGUGGUUAUCUGCUUAUUAUUCCAUUUCAGAAAGAAGAAUCUUAAUCAAGUUUAGUGGCAAAUAUUCUUUAAGCUGCUAAUAAGUAUAUGGUAAGAUGCUUCUGAUUUACUCUCUUGAAUUACUUGUCAAGCUAACUGCUGAUCACAAGAAUCACUUAGAUAUCUGUAUGCUUGAUGCAUACGUUCAGGGUACAUACAGUGUUAGUCAAGAGAUGGUAGAAAGUAGAUGGGUGUUUCUGUUGUGCUCUCUAGACCAAAAAAUGGAGUAGUUGAUAUUCAAUCAAUAAUGCAUGUAGAAUUCUUUUGUCAGUUGAAAUCACUUAAAAUUCCUACUCUUUCUGAUGAAGGGUCAUAUACAUCCAUUUCCCCUUCCAAUAAAGUCUGCAUCUGGGAACUCAACUCAACGGUAAACCUCUCUUCCUUUUCCUUAUUUUGCAUGUAAUUAGUAUCUCAGAGACCAUUCCGAGAAGGUAAGCUUGCCUUAGAAUUUUUGGAUACCAGCUUUUCUGUGGAAUCUACAUGGAAUUCUGUUCUAUGUCAAGUUAUAUAAAAGAACAGUUCAAUCUUUUUUUUUUCCUUAUUAAUAGAGCAUGCUGGACGUAACUUUUGGUACCUUCAUUAUCGUCAUGAAGUCUCCACCUGUUAUAAUCAGGGAAUGACUAUUUUCUGAGUGUGGAUUUCAUUUCAUCAUUUGACUUCAUGGCAAAUUGAUGGUAAAUGAUUUUCUACUAGUAAAUCUUGGUUGUGUUCACAUGGUCAAGAUGUUAGCCUUCGGACUCCUUGACAUUUUGGCAUCAGUUUUCUUAUUUUUCCAUGACAUUUGCGAUGGCUUCCUUCUAGAAAGAUGAUGUUUAUUUUACCAAUGACAUUACGAUGGUUGGUAUUUCUAAGCAUGGAUUGGUCCUCUGAUUAUGAAGAUAAAUUUGUUUGACUCUCCAAAUGACACAAGACGAAAAACCAAAUGAGCAAUUUUGCAUGCUAGAGAGUUGCCAGGUUUUAUAUGUCCAUUGGUGCUAGUGCAUAUGCUAUGAUUAGUUCUGCAUUAGUUGCGGCCGAAGCUUGGUAAUGCAGAUGAGUCACUAUCCAUCCUCAAAUAGCAGCAAUUUAGUAUUCCUUUUUGGGGGCUAGUGCAUAUGCUAUAAUCAGGGAAUGACUAUUUUCUGAGUGUGGAUUUCAUUUCAUCAUUUGACUUCAUGGCAAAUUGAUGGUAAAUGAUUUUCUACUAGUAAAUCUUGGUUGUGUUCACAUGGUCAAGAUGUUAGCCUUCGGACUCCUUGACAUUUUGGCAUCAGUUUUCUUAUUUUUCCAUGACAUUUGCGAUGGCUUCCUUCUAGAAAGAUGAUGUUUAUUUUACCAAUGACAUUUGCGAUGGCUUCCUUCUAGAAAGAUGAUGUUUAUUUUACCAAUGACAUUACGAUGGUUGGUAUUUCUAAGCAUGGAUUGAUCCUCUGAUUAUGAAGAUAAAUUUGUUUGACUCUCCAAAUGACACAAGACGAAAAACCAAAUGAGCAAUUUUGCAUGCUAGAGAGUUGCCAGGUUUUAUAUGUCCAUUGGUGCUAGUGCAUAUGGUAUGAUUAGUUCUGCAUUAGUUGCGGUCGAAGCUUGGUAAUGCAGAUGAGUCACUAUCCAUCCUCAAAUAGUAGCAAUUUAGUAUUCCUUUUUGAGGGCUUAGAUCAUGAGAAAUAGCAGUCUCAUUCAAAGAUGAGGAUACAUGACCCUAUUAUCUGAACCAAAGCAGGUCGAAAGAAACCUGUAUAAAUUGUUUCGGAAGAAACCUGUAUGAUCUGAACCAAAGCAGAUCAAAAGAAAGAUACAUGGAGGCCUGAAGUCUCACAGUCAAAACAUCAUGUUUGAAUACCUUUUAUCUACUAUUUUGUCUUUCUCAUGUUUUACUUUAUAAUCUCAGGUGCUUUUGUUAUGAAGUCUAUGGAAAUCUAUAUCUAGCGGUCACUUCAAACUGUCUUGGAGAAGAUAUAUUUUUGUUUAAUUAAUAUUCCUCUUAGACUCUCUGUCUUCUCUUAGCUCUUAUUAUUUAUUUGAUUCAUGUGCUGAUAUAUUUGUCUUAUCACUGGUGGAUGCAUUAGCUGCUUAGUUCACACAUUUCUUUCUUUGAAGAGGACAUAUGCCUGAACUUAAUAGGCAAUUAUACUUUUGAUAUGAUGGAUCUUUAACCCUUAAAAUUUAUAUUCUAGCAAAUUAAUGACAUUGGAUCAUCAAACUCUUAUUCUUAUUAUUAUCAAUGUCUUUUUCUGGUUAAAUGAAUUUUUGCUACAAAACCAACUUAUUAUUAGCUUAACAUCCAGAUGAUUCUCUAGAUCAUCACACUAAGAAAGAUAUACAAAUGUACACGAAAGACUUAUAUUUCAUGUUCCCUUGAGAAACAACCUCUUAUAACUGGAUAAAAAUCAUAACUCCAUUUUAGAGAUCUUUUACUAAGCUAAACAACCUCUCUAUAAUGCACAUAGUCUGCAUUGCACUGGUCCUGCCUUUUAUUCGUGGGGUUUUUUUUGUUGAUAUUGUUAGGUGGUAGAAAGCUGUAAAUAUUGCAGUUUAGCUUUACAUAUUUGGAUUGGUAAAUGGUAACAAAAACAAUGGAAUGCUGCCUGCUUACAGUAAGCUCCACUUUGCAUGUCACAUUUCCAAAGUUUGAGUUGAAUGUGGGGUCAAAAUCAAAUAAAAAAAAAUUUGACCCUAUCUGUACGACAGCAAGCAUCUCAGUUCGUCUUAUUGUUUUUGUUGGUGCGUUCUUUUCCUUAUUUUAACUGUUCUAAAAUUGUUGGGGAGGAAGGACAUCACCAAUGAGCUCCAGGUUUUGAAGAUGCUUUAAGCUAAAACCAGUUGCAGGGCAACUCUCCUUUGGCGAGAGAUAGAGUGGAGGAGUAAGCCUCGCAUCUCCCGUCACGGAUCAGCUUAAGUUCUGGUUUCUGCUGCCUUCCUUUGUGCCGCGUCGCAGCUUUUUUAUAUCAGGCUUUUAAGCGCGGCGGAGGUGGAACAAACCCACCAACUAUUCGGCAUAAGUUCACUGUGGGCAUGGCUUAUCCUCAGCGUCUUUUGGUACUUUCCUUUUCUUCCGCGAACGUGCCUGUAUAUUUUACUGUUCUUCUUGAGACCAUCAUCCUGUAUGAGCCUUUCUGAUACGGAGAGGGGGAAAAUAAAGAGAAGAAAUGGGCUCGGUGGCGAGAGCCUUUCUGAUACGGAGAGGGGGAAAAUAAAGAGAAGAAAAGGGCUUGGUGGCGAAAGCGUGCUGCCUUGUGCUCUUCUUUUUAUCUCAUGGGAAGACGGCAGACCAAAACCAACCCCCUCAUAUUCCAUCCUUCUUGUCAUCAGCGAGUUAUGCGUCCUCCGCAGGAGAUCAAUCAAGGGGUUGCAUGCAACGCUGUGGACGCUCGAUUUAACAAGUUUUUCAAAAGCCAUUUAUAUAGGAAUGGUCAAUGAAUCGGGUUUUACAUAGAGUGGUGCAUUUGAUAGAUCUUUGAGAUAGUAUCUAGGGCUAGGGCUUCACUGUUUGUUCUACAACAAUGCCACAAAAUUUAUGUUAGUAAUUUAUAUUGUGAGGACUUGUAAUCGUGACGGACCACCUUGGAUCCUUGCGAUUGUUCGAAGUUUACAAAAUUUAUGUUUAUAAUUUAUAUUGUCUAUCAAGUGUUUACAGAAAUGAUUGUUUAUGAAUCUUGGGUUAAAUAUUUUCUUUAACAUAUCUUCUUUUUUCCAGGUCCAUAAAGGACUAUAAGAGGUUUCGAGAAGAUUAACUCUUUUUAACAACAGAAGCAAUAAAGGAUGAGGGACAAAAGUGAGUGAUGAGGACAAUGACGAGGGGUUUCGUGGAAUAUGUGAGCCUCCACAUGUGACAUGAUGGUGGUGAGAAGCCUCUCAAGGCCUAUAAGGACAACGUCGAGAGGCCUCACAAUGGGAUCAAGGAUGGUGACAAGGCAACGAUAUGACGAAAGUCAAGAAUAAUCUCAUCUUUGAGAAGAUAAGAGACAUUUUAUGAUACUAAAAUAAAAAAGAGAUGCUUAGUAGGAAUAAAUAAAAAGUUAAGAUAUUUUUGAAAACUUUACCCAUAUAAAAAUAUAUAAAAUAGUACACCCUCCAAUUUUUCAUUGAAUUUGACAGGUUUUGACGGGAUGAAAUUGCUCGAGACUUGGUACCAACAAAUAGCUGGAUCUAUGUAUCCUGUCUUCGAGCCGAAGCUUAAUUAUUAUGAUUAGAAAUAGCUCAUCGGUACAUAAUCUCCGCCAACAGAACUUUCAUCGAAGAUCCUGCUAAGGUAUUUAAAUCUAGAUGAAGAAUACAAAUCUAACAUUUGUUCAGCAGCAAAGUCAUGUAUAUAUGUACCUGAUGCUGCUUAAUAACCCAACUUCUCCUGGAAACAAAGCGGGCACAUUUUGUGUGAGAAUAACAAAAAUAUAGUCCAAGUCAACAUAAAACAAUUUCUAACUAGCCAGAAUCUAUUGUCUUUGAUGAUAUGGGCCUCAAAAUCUGCAAAGUCUAAUUUUCACUUUGCCUUUUCUGCAUGGUUAUACAAGAAACAAACAUGGUUUGAUCUUCUAAGAAUAUCAUACUGGGAUUGAUCAUAGCUUUUACUUAUGAUUGGUCAUAGUCUAUGAUUGAUCUUCUGAGAAUCUCAUUCAUCAGUUGAAACAAAAUUAAUUCUUUUAGGCUUCACACAACACUUUUACCUCGGUAUCAAGGUAUAUCUAUAGUUUAAGAGUCAGAUGUCAUAUGAUAGGUUAGCUAUCCUGAUCAUAGCUCGAGACAUCAGGAAUGAACAAAUAUAUAGCUCAGUCCUCUUCAUUCUACUUAAAAAUAUCAAAUUAUAAUGAGUUUCAAAAAGAUUAAUACUCAAUUAUUAGUUAAUAAGCUGAAAUAGCUGGAGUCUAACUUUAGCUGAGUGAAAAUGUCAAUGCCACAUAUCUCCUGCCUUGCCAUGCUAUCAACAUCAACUUUAUAGUAUGCUAAUGGUAUCAUGUAGUGUUUAAUACUCUCGGGAAAAAAGAAUGCAAGAAUCUUAAAACAUAUCAAAAUCAUACUGUCUUAGUAAUAAAGUAAAAUCAAUCAUGACAUGUAUUAAUUACUUUUCCUGAAAGAAAGAAGCAUGGACCUUGAAAGUAAUAUUAGACACGUAGAAGCAUCUGUCUCUCGUCGGGUCCAACAGGAUGGCUAGCCUGAAUAGAAAGUGAUGCAUGAAAAAUAUCUCAACAUUAAGUUGUUUUAUCAAAAAGUUUCAUCGAAUAAUAAUUGAACAAGUUUGUUUCUUACAUCUUUAGUUGCCCCAGGAGUUAUAUUUACAUACGAAGCUUCCUUUAAUCUGCAAAUAUAUACAAGAUGAUUUGGAACACAUGCUAGAUUCAGGGCAAAGUAUCACUGAUAACAUCUAACAAGGAUUAUACAAGAUGAUGAGCAUGUAAAGAUAUGGACAUGAAUUUCAUAAGUGAAAUGGACAAUUUAGAUUAAUAUUCAAUUGUUACUUCAUUCAACUGAAGCGACAUUCAAUUGUUGUUUCACAAGUUAAACGGACAUCAAAGUGGAAAUAUGCAGAGACACAAGCAUGCUUGCGCGUGAAAAGAAAUUCUAACUUUACUGUCAUGGCAUGUGCAUUGAGUUCACAACCCAGUCUAUGGAUUGUUGUAGUUUCUUCUAGCAUAUGCAAAAUUAUUCAUCUAAAAAAGGAUAAUAACUUUAAAGAAAAUAAUCAAGAGCAAGGUCUUUCAUAUAGAUAAUUUGGAGGGUUUUGGUAUACUGUUAGAUUGAUACAGUAUCAUGCCUCCAGUGUUGGUAGAUAUUGUCAAAAUUUGACCUGGCCAUAAGAACAAAAAAAAAAAGAAGGCCAGAACCAGUACAGAUGUCUCAGCAUAUGCUGGUUUGUGCUGACAAAAAAAACAAAAUCUAUACCAUGCAGUAGUUCACAGUGGUAGAGUUUUUUACUCUCUCAGACAAAAAUAUAGGUUAAACGAGGAUAACAAAAGGAAAAUAUAGUCUUUAGGAGAAUGAAACAAGGAAUAGAUAUAAACCUGACAUCUUGAGCAUCCAUCAUCUCUAUUCUCUUAUCAGGCAUCUCAUCUUCCGCUUUUGCAAGUGGGGAAAAGAACUAUGUGAAGAUGUACAAGAAUAUUAGCAUACGGUCCUCCAAGAAAAUGACUUGAAAAAGUAGAAAUUACCUGGUGCAUUGAUAUAAAGACUAUUGAAAUGCCCAAGAUAAAAUUUAUUGUCAGAGUGUGACCAAACAGAGCAGCAGAUGCAAUGCCUGUAAAAAUUGUGGCAACGGUAGAGGAAUACUUCUUCAAAAUCGUAUCUGCAAUCAUUGACCAUGAAUGUAAUAAUAUAAUGCAUCAAGAAGAAUAUAUCAACAAUAUAAUUCAGUCGGAAUAUUCCAAGUUACUACAGGAUAUCAAGAAACUCAAACUCAUAAAGAGAGACAAGCGACAGCAGCUUUACCAGCAUAUUUGAAAAAGAAUGAGGAGAGGAUUCCUUGUGCAGCAUUGUUGCAUAUUAAAAACAUCGUAGAUUUUGAGUGCCCUUGAAGGAUAUCAAAGCUAUUUGGCCCUGAAAACAAUGACAUGUCAUUCCAAACAUUUCAUUCAUGUGUAUUUAUAAAAGUCACCAUCACUUUCAUAUGCAUUUCAAUUGCAAGUAAUUAAAAGAAAACUGUGAUAAGUGAUGCAAACUCUCAAAACAUCAAACUCAGACAUCAGGAAGAUGUAUCACCAUCAUGAUGCAGACCAGCUCAUUAAAGCAAAUACCAUUGGUCCUUCCGGCCCAAUAAUCCAACGCAUAUGAAACAAACCACAAUAUCUAAUGUGCAUAUAUAUAGCCCUGAAAAAUAUAUAUACACAUCUAUUUAGAUUCAUAGAUGUUGCCAAUAUAUUCAUUUUUUCCACCUACAACUGGGUGGAUUGGAAUACAGAUACGCAACUAAGGACUUCUGUGGGGAUAUAUAGAAAAAUCCUGUAACAAAAAAGCAUUUGUAGCUUAGGGCUUUUCUACCUUAUUGUUUCAAGAAUGGCAGUGCCCAUAUAUAAAUCAACAUUAAAAAGCAGCAUGCUUGAUACAAGUGUAAUGAUAUUGAAUAGUCAAACUUCUCAAGAUUGCAAUAUCAAGAAAAUUUUACAUCAUAAUCCUUGCAAUCCAUAUUUAAUCACCUCUCAGAUUUUAUACUAAAGAGCUUGUUCUAAAUAAUGCCAGAACCUAGUAAGGGCAAACCAGUGGAGGAGUUCAUUGACGGCAAAAUGAGUAAAAGCAUUGAUAUAAGUCAUCUUCUGAUUUUGUUAAAGGUUACACAAAAAUUCAGGAAUAGUAGAAGCAUUGAGGCUAGGAGUCUAAGAGAACAGGAAAGCGUAAGUUAGAGAUAAAACUUCAUAAACUGUUGUUUCCCAAUAAACUGUUUUAUUUUUUUUUUCAGGGUUACCAACCGAUAUCAGAUUACUGGCCUAAUCAUUAAAAUUGAAUCUCCUAGAUAUGAAUAUAUUUGCUAAUAAAAACUAAUCUUGAAUUGAUGGUAUACAUUAAUUCGCUUAGUCAUCUCCAUUAACACGACAUAAAAUGCUCAAGUGACAUCACAGCUUAAUCAGGAAAGCUGCAUAAAAUAAAGCUAAUUUUGAUACACAACCAUGGAAACAAAACUUUUGGGCCUUUACGAUAUUUGUUUCACUACUUAUAUUUCCUUGUUUAGUUGGCUGAAGGACAUAUCUAGCUUCCACAGAAUCUUAAACAACUAAACAUAGGAAGUCGAAUUGUAACCAACUACCCUUCACAAAUUAUUUACAUCUUCAGAAGUUAUGUAGAACCAAAGAAAAACCGCACAUAUGAGACAACAAUUGCUUUAGAUAAAACCCUAAUAUGGAAAAGAUAUGAGCAAAAUAUAUAGCCUGCUAUGGUGGUCAAUCUUUGUCAAUUUACAUUUGAGUCUAUAAACAAAUUAUAUGAAGAAGAGGCCAGAACCUCUCUUUUCUCCCUAGUGUUCUCUUCUAUUUUAACACACACCUGCCACCUCUAUUAUUAGGUGAUCAACAAAACCAAGUUGCCAGCAUUCUUGUAUCAGGAAGAUAAAUCCAAUCAAUAUUAACAAAUACAAAUAACACAAACUGUUCUUAUUUCUUUCAAUAAUUAAAUAGAUCCAUAACCUUUCCAGUGAAUAAAUCCUCUGCAGGUUGCAGGUCCCAACCAGGCACAACUGGUUUGGCAUGAAUGAUACAUACAGCUAGCAACAGCUCAAUUAUAGCCUCUUAAGUCUUAAGUGAUGAAAUUCCAUGAGAGUUGGCGUUAAAGCUUCCAAUGGUGGGAUGAAUGGUUAGUUUCUAUAGGUAAAGGAAAAGUUUUCUCAUAAACCUCCAGCUGAAGAAUGCUGUAAAGAAUAUGUUGAACUCAGCAAAUUGUCAUGAAAAGUUGAAAAGAUGCAGGUUUCAACAGACAUCAAUUGCACAAACUCAGUGGAAGAUAGAUAACCUAAAUGCUUGAUUAUUCAUGUGAUAGACAUUUCAUACAACAUUUAGCAAAGGAAGCAUCUGUGUCCUAGUUUUGUGUUUGAUAAACACUGAAUAUAUUAUACAUUGAGAAGACCCUUUAAUAAACAGGUAAAAAGUCACUUACUUAAGCUUAAAAAAAUAAAAAAAUAUGAUUCUAAAUUCAUUUAAAGAAUAUCUCUUUAGAAUAAUUUGCACAUGUCAUCAUUAUUUAUAGCAAAAUUUGGAGACCUGAUAAUUUCUUACGUUCAUACCUUUCAGGACAGCAGUUCCAACAAUUGCAAUGAAGUUAAAUAUAGCCCCAUAGCCAUAUAAAAAUAAGUUCUGCAAGUGAAACAAAAGAAACAUUCAAAAUAAGCGAUUCUUAUCCCCAAUGUUUGCAAAUUGUUAUAUCCAGUGUUUAAAAAGGGGUCAUGGAGGUCUCCAUAUCAAAACAGUGGCUGAUAUGUGCUCAACCCACUGUCUGCCAUCUUCCUAAACAUGUUAAGCCGCUACAUGGCAACCAUAUCUACAUAACUUCUUGAUGAGGACUAAAUUAGCUGCAUCUAGAAAAGCAUAGAUAUGGUGUUGGCGAAACACAAUAACAUGUGCCUUUUUAUUAGCAUAGUAAAAGGUAGGUUUCUAUUAGCACAAUAAAAUGUAGGUUUUUAUUAUACAAUAACAACAAGCCAUAAUGUCCCAACUAUUUGGGAUCAGCUACGUGGGUCUCUUUGUCACUAUCAGUUUUUGUUAUAACCCCUAGAAAUCUAUAGUGGUAAUUCACAAAAGUUACCUGAAGAUAUAUGCUUGUGCCAAACUGGCUUUUUAAAGCAUACUCAUUGAAGACCGAAGCCAGAGAAGGAACAGUAACCUGAAAUUUUGUUUCAAGGUAAGAAUUUAUGACCACAAACUUGAACAAAACUAAGGGAAAUAUUAGAUGAUGGUCAUUGUAGAUCAAUUGAAAAGAUUUAGUAGAAUUAGUUGUUAGUUAGAAAGUAAUAUAUUUUGGUAUCAUUAAGAUAUUAUGUGAAAUUGCUGGAAAAAGGGAGAAGGUGCUCAAAACAACUAUACCAAACAUAAAAUAGUAAAAGAAUCAAUCUUGUUUUUCAUCUAUAAAACAAGUCAAAAGAUAAGUUCGUGGAUCUAGAGAAAACAAUAUGUCAAAUAAUGAAAUUGAGGCUCUUAAACAAGAAAUUUGAUUGGAGAGGUAAGCUAGAAAAUUGUCAUUAUAUAAAUUUAAGAUGUGGCAUUUUUGAGAAUGUCAUAGCAUAGUAUACUAAAUGAAAUCUAAUUGUAAGCCAGUAAAAUAAAACAAUCGGGUAAGUUUCAAGUCAUCCUUAUAUUAAUGUCCGGUUCAACAGUUAAGCACAACUCAAUCAUUUAUAGAAACUUCAAUUUGCAAACAGUAAUUUCUAGUUUCUCAAAGAGCUUUCUUUCCCCCUAGUUGAUAACACUUACAAACAUCAGUGUAUACAAGUAUGCACCCAUUGCAACAGGAAGACCAAGUGCAUUGGUAUCCUCAGGCAGUGACUUUAACUGAUUAACACUGAUUCCAAUUAGCAAAAGUGCAAGAGCCUCCCACUGUCAAAUAAUAAAGCAUGAAAUUAUUAGAAAAGUAUUGGCAUUCUUCAUCUAUUCUUAUAGCUCAACUUAUAUCAAUUUUGAAUAUAUAUUACUGCUAAAGAGGAAUAUGGCAUGUUCAGGAAUAACCUAAGAAUUUCAUGUACAACAUUGUCUUCCAUACCUUCAUUAUAUAAACUAGUUUACAUUAUAUAAACUAUUUAAGUGAUAAAUCAAUGAAGCUUUAACUUGCCUGGAUUAUGGAAAAGCGCCUUCUCAUAAUGAUCUUUAGAAGGACAGCAAUUACCAAAACCUGCAGGAGAUUAGAGCACCAGCAAAACAAAUUCAGGACCAGAAAAUUCUAUGAAUGCAACAUGCUUGAUAUAGGAAUGUUCAAAAUAUAACACAUAAAAUGACAAAAAUGAUAAAAUACAUAAUAUGAGACACACAAGACAAAUAAAUGAACUAACACAAAUACCAAGCACCGGAUGAUUUUUCUCUAUGAAUGUAAUGUGCUUGGUUCAUAUAUGGAACCUAUGUUCCAUAUUAGCCUGGGCUGUCCAUUCUGUGACGAAGAAGUUCUACUUGCCUAUAAGUUGCUUAUGGUGUUUGGGUCCUCUUCACAUGCAAAAUCAUGUGCAAAGUCCUAGUUGUUAUAACCAUAUCCACAGAUGCCUAUCAAUGAUAGCUACAGAAUUCCCAAAUAGGCUCAAAUAAAUUGAGGUCUAGCAUGGUGAAUGAUAUGACAAAUACAAGCAGAAACAGUCAUUUGAUGGUUAAAGACACUUUCUUAGUACUUCAGCAAUUUAAUUAUAGAACAACUAGUUGCCAUAGUAAAAGAUCAAUUAUAACAAUGUACAGUUUCAGACAAAAUAGCAAUAAAAAUGCUGAACUCUUCAUUUUUUGGGAGGAAGAGUAGGAGCCAGUUACUCCAAUUUAUUAAAUAAGAAUUGGAAUACAAGAAAAAUAGUGCUACUAAGUGAAGAUUUUGUCAGAUGUACCCUAAAUAAAGACACACCUAAGCCAUGAACAAUAGAGUGGCAUAAUAAAUGUAUCAAAAGUUCCCCUUUUAAAGCUAACUCCUAGGGAGCACAACUUAGCAGUGCACUCAUUUCAUCAAAAUUAUCAACAGGAUCACUGUUCAAUGCCCUGACAGCUUAUUGAUCAACAUAGGACUAGAAGUUGAUUUAAUAUAUUUAACCUUAUUAUUAAUCAAGUUUUGUCAGUCACAUUCAACACUGAACCGGACCAAUUUAUUAGUGAGGCAAAUUAUGUCAACUGCUUAUGACCCAAACACACAAACAAAAACCAAAACUACAAAUUUAUGUUGUGUUAGGGUCAGCUGUGUCAUAUAUUAACACCUUUAUGAAACCACUAGAAAGAUUUUUGGUUUAAAAUUAACUCUGAAUGAUUCAAACAAAAAUUCAAAUAAAAAGAAAAGAAAGAAAAACAACUAAACAAAAGCUUAUAGAUGUGAAGAGUUUGUAUGAGAAUGCACAUUCCAAUAAAAAAACCAGAAAUUUAGCUUUUUGCAAUAGAAGUUAGUCUAUGAAAACUUAUUAAGCAAACAGCUACUAACAUUUUUGCCAGAUAACCAACCUAAAGCACUUAGUACAAAAACAUUUGUCAAUCAAGUUAACACACAGGUACUAAUAGUUUCAGAAACGUAUUACCUUCAGGUUGCUCAACAUUUUAACAGUUGCAGGGUUAAAAUACAACUGCAUAAGGCAUAGAACAAAUAAUCAGCUUAGUCAAGAAAAUAUAAAUCUCCAAUGCAGCUAUAUAGGCUGGGUGAAAAAUAUUACCUUUAAUAUUUCCUGAAGAUAAUGGAUAAACAAGAAAAUGGAAGUAACAAUGCUUGAUCUGAUAAAAAAAAGACUAUACCUGCAUUAUAAAUUUCAGAUAGUUGUUGAUUGCAUAAAGAAGAGCAGGAAUAGAAAGAAGAACAUUAUUGCGAAAUGCCUGCAAAGAUAACAAAACAGUUGAAAGAAGAUGCUAAUGCUUGUUCACUAAAACAAAGUUUAAAACUAAUUGCAUUAUAACUUUUGAAACUGGAAGGAUCUUGAAGAGAAAUUAUGGAUAAAGUGAUAAACCACUACCAUGGAAAAUCCAAUUCUCUGGUAUAGUAGCAAAACCUUGUAAGAAUAGCUUCAGUUAGCUAUAUAUAUCACUUUCACAAGGCAUGCAUCUUUCCAUGUCACACCAAAUUCUAGACAAACAACUGCUAUCAUGAAACCUUUUAGAUGUAAUGAAAACAUCAAUAAGCAAUUAGUACCUAGCAAACUAAUUCAAGCAUAGUAACAAAAUGUAUGACAUUCCAAGAAUUUUGGUUUUUAUUUAAAAAUUCAAAGUAUUAACAUUAGAAUAUUCAUUUUGUAUGAUGAUCAACACAUAUACGAAAAAAGAUUUUAAAAGCAGCAUGCACAAACUAUCACAAAAAGCAGUCAAGCACAAAGAACAGAUCAACAGCUCCCUUCUAACUGAAAGAUUAUGUCACUGAAUAGGAAUGUGCUUCCAAAUCUAGACGAGAUCAGAAACAUCCAGAUCCAUAAGCUUGUUUCAUAUUAAGAAUCUAGAAUCAUAAAGAAAUCUCAUCGUCCACACUUUCUCAAAUUUUGCAACUUUUUUUGAUAAAAUAUGCAAUAGCAAGAAGAUAUUAAUUUUAGUUUCAACCAGAAACAUUCAGAUCCAUAAGCUUGUUUCAUACUAAGAAUCUAGAAUCAUAACGAAAUCUCAUCAUCCACACUUUCUCAAUAAUUCCACAACAAUGACAAGAACAAAAAUAACAAAGCCAUAGUGUUCCAACUACUUGGGGUGGCCACAUGGAUCUCUUCCUGCCUUUGGGUCAUUCAAACAAUUCUAACAAUGAUACAUUUGGAUAAAAAAGCAAAGAGUACUUAAGAUGAGAUGGACAUAACUUAUUGAUCCAAUUGGAGAUCUGGUUGCAAAAAAAAGGUUGCAAACACAUUAGGUCAAGCCAAACCCUUAAUAAAGAAAAAAAGUGAUAAAGAAAAUAGAAAUUGUGUUAUGAAAGUCAAUAGUAUUGCAUAAGAGUUUUACCUGCACGAAUGUGGAUAUCGAGAGUAGGGGUUUGUCUCCUUUAUUUUGUUUUUUAGCCUGCCAAUUAAUAAGUAAGGGGCAUGACAUGGCAUCUUAUAUGCUAGUAAAAGAUUAACAAAAUAAUACUAGAGCCAAGAACAUGCUCAAUUGUACCAAAGACAGCAAAAUAAAUGAAAAAAAGCGAAAACAAAAACAAUAUGGAUAUAUCAUAGAUUUGAUUCACUAAGUGAGAGAAAAAAAAUGGAAAGCUAUACACCACAGAAGUUGGAUCAUAUGCAACUAGAUACCUGAAAUAGCCAAUAUAUAUAGUUCUGUAAAAGUAAAUAAAAAUUGCAAGGUAGUCCAUGAAAGGCAUUAGCUAUUUUACAAAUUUCAGAAGUCAUGCAACUAUAUGAUUUGUUAUUUCCUAACAUUCAUAUCCUUUUCAAGGGGAACUAUUAGAAUCAUGCUCUCUAAUUGCAUGAAUCUAAGUUCACUAGCCCACUCAAACUAGAAAAAAGAAACCCAAUGUAUAGAUUUGCAGUUUGUCAUCAGAUUCCCAAUUACAUAUGUGUUUGAUAACCAGGCAAGGCAUGGUUUCUCUUAGUGCACCUGUGCUAUUUAAUAAUUAUAAUUACAGUCGAUAACCAAACAAGCUGUUAUUAUACCAUAACAGUAACCAUACAAUAACAGAUGGCAAGUCUGUAACAAAUGGUUGGGAAUACUUCAUCGUCAAUGAAAGCUUCAAGGGCAAAAGACAUCCAUUUAAAAAACGUUGCAAAUAAUUAUUAUAAUAUUAUGUUAUUAUAAAAAGUAAUGUAUAAGAAUUGGUGGACAAACAAGAGGUUUAGGUAAUGCACCAUGAGUAACAAUCAUCUACCAUCACAUAAGUUGCAUGGAAGGAUAUAACAAAAAACUAUGAAAUAAACUACUAAUGUCCUGCUUUCCUAAAAUUAUUUCAUAGUUCAUAACACAGUGACUUUUGCACUUUAUGUCAUAGAAAAGUUAGAUAAUAAAAUAGCAAAAAUACAAACUCAAGCGAAAAAAUUUAGUGAUAAUAUUACCAUACCUGGGAUAACAGCAUGAUGAUGGCAAAGAGAACCUUUGCAGCCUCAGUCAAAAAAUUAACACUGAUAGGACUAAACUUAAAGCUCCCAUCCACCUUAGACAUGUAGACUAGAAUAGGCUGCAACGAAUAGAAAAGCAUGUAACAUAGCAUUAAUUUGUAAUUCUAACAUUUUCCCUUUAACAUCCUUGAGUUCACAUAAAGCUUGUACUUCUGAUUUUUCUUUCCUUAAUAUCCUUGAGUUUAAUUAAUAUACGUGUUUAGAAAUGUACCACUAGCUGAUUCUUAUUAGAAAAAUGUGGAAAAAUAAAUUAAAAGAAAAGUUCUGCUGCCAUAUGUCUAGCAUGAUUAAUUAGCUGUUAUAUUUCAAGGUGAAGAGCACUGUUUUCUCCUUAGUAAAUGUCAAAACUUCCAGUAAUCAGCACAAUUAGAAUUUUAAAACUGCUGCAAUUUUCUUUGGUCUCUUCUUCUUUUAAUUAUCUAAUUCAUGUUGCCCUUCCAUGCACACAUUUCUUAGAGAAGAAUGUUACAACCCAUGAAGGAGGAUAGGGGUUUCAGAAAGAGGAUUAAGAUUGCAGGAUGCAAGCAUUAUGCAUGUUGUCUAGACCCAAACAGAAAAGUCUCAUGUAAUCAAUUAUGCAUGUGAAUAAACUACACUUUUGCGUGCUGCUUGCAAUCUUUCAAAAAAGGAUCCAGAGCCUAUAAGGCGUGCCUCCUUAUUUUAGCAUAUUAGUUCUUUCUUUUGAUGUCUUGAUACAAACCUCAGAAUGAGACUUAUUUGAUAGAUCAGAUUAGAGUUAUCUGUCAAAGUUAGUAAGAUUUCUGAGUAACAAGAAGGGGAAAGAAACCAGAUAGCUUCUAUUGUCCUUUUUCUUGGUUAUGUUAUCAAAAUAUUCCCACCCAACCCUUUUUCGCCAUGCCAUUUUUUUGCUACUGCUCUUCUGCUAGUUUUCUUUGCUAUGGUCCUCUUCUGCUGCUAGUGUUAAUUGGGCUCCUGAGCCCACAUAAACAUGGAUAAGUACUCUUUGAUCAUAGAUUUUAAACAGUAGCAAAAGUGACUACAUCAGAAAUGCACAGUGAGACUUUUUUAAAAUCAAAAGCCAUGAGGUUGUGGACCUCAUCUUCAACAAGCUUCUGCGAGUCAACCUUGGAACAGUUGAGAUAACGAUAGUAAGAAAAUUCAGUUUGAAAUAUAGGCAGCUAUGACUAGAACUAACAUAUUGAUCAUAGAAUUACCUGAAGGCCAACCAAGAUACAAUCGCCAGCAACCAGAAGAACUUUGAGAGCACGAUGUUUUGGUGGUGUUUUAUUCCUGUUUUUGUCAUAUGCCCUAGAUAUACCUUUACCACCUGGAGCUGGCAAUUUGGAAUGACAGUUACUGCAUUCUAUCAUACCGUCCUCCAGCAUUAUGAAACCUUGAACCUUAUCAAGCACAUUAAAUGCAGCUACAGGAUAGAUCUAUGAACUUAUUGUUGUACCUGAAAAUAUCAAAGAAAAACUUAGUUACAAUUAGUGAAGAAAAUUACUAAGUGCCUACCGUUCAAAAAGAAAUUCAUCCAAGAAGAACAUGAACCUAUCUGCAUUUGUCAUUUGCCAAGGAGAAUAGUUAUCACUGAUCUUUCUCCCAUGACCUAUUUUCAUACAGAGUAUCCAUGCCAAAAUAAACAUAGUAGAUGGUAGAGUUUGAAGAAAGAAUUUGAUAACCCAUAAACACAGAGCAAGAAUUGAUUACAGUACACCAAACAGAAUUAUCCAAAUUGCCAAACCAUUCCCUGCGAUCAUCACAAACCAAAGAACAAAAGACAAAACAAAAACUAACCAAAGUAGUAGAAGAAGAGAGAUGCGAACUAAGAUUAGUAAGCAAUCUACCACAAAUCAAUAGCUGGUCACUCACCAAAAUCCUUUGUCAAAUCAAAUUGGCAUUCCACAACAAACCGAAAUCACUAAGUCGCCCCAAAAAUCCACCUUCCUCCCCGCCUCAAUGCCAAAACCAAGCAACAACUCCACACAAAUGAGAGUUUCCUGGAGUGGUGAUCGCAAAAAGUAGCAAAGACGAGACCUUUCGAGAGAAGGCAAGGAGGAAGCAAGGAGAUCCGAAAGGAAUAUGCUACCAGGGAAUCGGAAUUGGUAUUAAUUCCUCUCUUCCUGUGUGCGGGGUCCCCAGCACACUACUGUCUAGUUGUUUAUGGUUUAGGGUUCAAGAUGUCAGCUACACCUGACCAUUCUUUCUAAAUACUUCCAAACCCAUGAACCCUGUUAACCUCCAAACUUCAUGUCGCCUCUUCCGCCCACACGUCUACCGCCGAAGCUUUGCAAUCCCAGUAGCAACUGGUAACACCCAGGACGCACUCCGAGGCUGCCGACCUGCAUCAUGAAUCAAACGGGGAGACGCUCCGGAGUCCAUGUCGGUUGAUGCUUCUGGGGUGUUCGACGAAUUGCCUGACAGGAGAGUCAACACGUGGAUUUGCAUGAUCUCCGGGUGAGCAAGAAAUGGCCAUUGACAAACCGAGAUCCCAUCUUCUGCUUGAACGAUUAACUAUGGCGUGCUUCGCGAAGACUUCCAGGCGUGCAACGCGAUCCAUGGCUACAUUAUCGAGACCAUGAUCUCUGCAAAUGUAAUAUGACUGAGAGUAGUGUUACCUGGAGCUCAUCGACGUCAUGCCUCGUCGACUUGUGCAAGCAAAAGAACUGUGAUGUCUCCAGUUUAGGGCUUAUCAAAUUAAUGAUUCACUUGUACCAAACUUAAUUAGUAUUAAAAAUAUAUUAUUAUUAAUUUAGUUUUAAGCAUGUUGGCUCAAUAGUUUAUACAUCUCAU